rnacentral:lncRNA from 1 species
CUCAGAAUGGUUGCCCUCCUAGAUUACACAGUUUUGUUCAAUUACCUAAGAGGCUAAGACAUAUCAUUGAAGUUCUUAAAUCCUGCCUUUAGGGCGACAGGAGAUUAUCGAUGGGCUUCACUAGCAUUUUCGACAAUUGUUGUGUUGAGUACUGAUGCAUAUUGCAUAUCAAGUAGCAAUGCUUGAAACAGACACCUUGUCUGCCCGAGCUGUACUUGCUGUAACAGUCAGAUAAACGACACUUGUGAAUCUCCUCUUCACUGUCUCCUCGUAUAAGCUGUCUCAACUUUUGAGUUUCACCAACCUCUAUAAUUGUGGUAGAACUUCAUAAGAAAUUUCAAUUUCCAAAACUUUUCCACUUUUCACAGGAAAAGAAAUGCUGAGUUCAUGCUGUCAUCAAUUUGGUUCGCACAUUAACAUAGCUAUUUUAGAUCUUGAUGCUUUGUUUUGGCUUGGAACUUUUUGAUACUUGAAUAAGCAUGUAUUGAUAUAUAGCAUACUAGUACUAUAUCUACCACUUCCUUCUGCACCUAAACAUGUUUUCGUGGACACUGAUAUGAACUGUAUGAAUGAAUACUGCAGGAGAUGAAGUGAAGGGUGAAGCAUGAAUGUUGGCAUUUUCAACACAGUGACAGCUUAAAUUUGAGAAAGUGUGUGGGGAUAUGGCAAUUGGUAAAAUUAAAAGUAAUGAGAAGGCUGACUGUGCAACUUUCAAGCAACUAAAGUACAUUUUUGGGAAAAAGAUUGAUAAGUUGAAUGCUAACUGUCUGGUAAAAUAUUUCCACUUAAAGUCUCCAUGCUGCAAUUGUAACAACUGCCACAAUAAGGUCUCUUUAUACUAAAAGUAAUCUGCUGCUUGAUCAUCUCAAGACAUUAUGUCCCCUGUAGAUAUAUGUCCAUUUUGAAGAUCUAUUAGAAUUUUCGUCAAUUUCUUCAUUGGCCUCCUUCCUCUUGUUUUGCACCUCUAUCCCAGGUUCAAAUAUUUUGUACUUGGCAUGAAGCAUCAUUGGUAUUGAUUUUCCAAAUUUGUCAUGCUAGUGCUAGUAUGAACACCUAGAGGGGGUGAAUAGGUGUAUAAAAUAAAUCUUGGCAAGUAUAUGCGGAAUAAAAUAAACUUCAAACAAAGGAGUUAGGGAAGAGAAUAAGAACACAGAAAUUAUAGUGGUUCGGCUUAAUCCAAGCCUACGUUCACUCUCCCACGCUAACAGCCUUCUUGGCUAGAUUCUACUAUGCAAUCAACAAGAAAUUACAACUUCGAGUGCAAACACUUAGUAGACCACACUAUCUCACUAAGUCACUCUUUUGGUAUUUCUCUCACGAUCACAAACGUUUAAGCUCUCAAGAGACAAGUGAAGAUCGCUCAGACUUUGGAAUUAUAAAUUCUACGCUCCGUCUCUUACUUGCUCAUCGGUCCAUGAUCUCCUUAAAUACUCCUCCACUUCCAAACUAGCCGUUGGACAGCAUCCCGGAGAAUCGUCUUCCAAUAUACCCAUUGGACAGCUCUGUAUCUAGAAGAUUUGGUAGCCGUUGAGUGACAAAGGUAGAAUCCCAAAUUGAUUCCAAUCGCCCAUACAAACGAAAUCUUGGUUUCCAUAAGUAAAGCUUCUUCGUAUAGAAAGUUCUUGUCUUCAACAUCCAAUUGUCAAUCAAUUAGAUUGAAUCAAUCAAAUCAAUCUUGAUGUGGAAUCCAAACCAGAUCACUAGCCGUUAUAUGAUUGAGCUUGAGUUACGUUCUGUCGAGUCUGGAUGUAAAGUCUGAGAGCAAUAGACUUUACAAUCUGAGUCUAUAGACUUUACAAUCUGGGUCUGAACAUAUCUGCUUCUGAACAGAUUUAGCUUUAAGGUCUGUACCCAGUUUAGCUUCAGCAUAGAGUCUGUCUUCUGGUUCAUCAUUCACGUUCAGUCUGGAAUUAGUCAGAGUGAGCAGACUUCUGAUGUAGAACAGACUUUAACACUAAAGUCUGGCAAUCUUCAGACUUUGAGUCUUGAGUCUGGCAAUCUUCAUACUUUGAUACAGAAGUCUGGAAAUCUUCAAAAUAUACUCUAGACAUAUGUUACGUUCAGUCUUCUGGCCGUCUUCUGACUUUGAUAAUAUCCUCUACAUGUUCUAACAUCUGCAUGGUCUAUUACUCAACCAUUAAACAUGUUAGUAGCCUUUGAUUUAUUUUGUUAUCUUCAAAAUAUCAUAAGGGAUUUCCCUAACAAUCUCCCCAUUUUUUAUGAUGACAAAACAAUAUCUGAAUAUGCAGAUUUGUAAACACGCUUUUAAAAAUAUUAAUUUAAAUCAAAGGAUAUCAGAAGAUAACAAAUAGAUUGAGCAUAAUAAUAUAUAGAAAAUAAUCGAAGCUCAAUAUUAUGCAAUAAAUAAUAUCAACUAAUCAGCACAUAUGCAUAUUCAUAUCUUCUCCCCCUUUUUGUCAUAAUCAAAAAGCGAUAAUAAUGGAUUCACGUAGAGAAUGAUAACAAAUAUCUUGCAUGAAUCACAAUUUCCAAAAAUCAGCUUUUAUCGAAUAUUAAAGAUAUGCAAUAUAAUCUUUACCAAAAAAAAAAAGAAAAAGAUAUGCAAUAUAGCUCACUUCGAUUAUAUCAGCAAAUAUCCAAUAAAAAUUACGGAUGCAUCAUAAAAUUUACGUACCAUUUUUGUCAUAAUAAAAUGAUAAUAUCAAUAAGAGAUUUGUUAAUGACAAAAUGUAAUAAAAGAUGCACUAACCGGAUUUUUUAGAAUAAAUUCUGACACAUUUACCUUGCUUCCAUCCAUAAUAAGAUCACGAUCAAUCCAAAAAGAUUUUUCCAUAAUUGAUCAAUGCUCCCCCUCAAUUUGUUGCCUUUUUGAGAUGAUCACGAUUUUUUUCCUUUUCUUUUGGAUUUGAUUUCUCCCCCUGUCAUCAUGACAACAUUUGCGAAUAGAAACAAUUGUUGCUUGUGCACAUUGAACAGAAUAUUUUUCCAUUAUUCCCUUUGUAGCAACAAUAUCCGCAAUGAUCAUUUGCAUUUUGAAAUUCGAGGCAAAAUUUUAUUUUCUUCAAUCAAGCUCGUCUCGAAUUCAAUCUGCAUCAACUUAACAAACUUUUUCCACAAAUAAUAUCCACGUGAUAUAUAAUACCCUUUUCUUCAAAUAGAUAAAAUUGAAUAGCAUAUAUAAAAUUAUCAAAUAUUAAAAUUCAGAACUAUUCAACCUUUUGUACGAUGCAUAAGGGAUUUCCUCAACAAUUUGCAAAAAUUUUGCAUAAGGAAUAAAAUCUUUGAACCUCUAGAAGAUAGUAUAGAAUCUCCAUGAUUUUCUGAUUGAGUUUUCCAAAAUCCAUAUGGAAGAUUCUUUGUGACCUGCAAAUUCUUAUAUAACAGAUAAUAAUCUUUGCAAAAAUGUCACGUAAUAUCUUCCUUUGAUUUGCAGAUCAAACUUGCUAGAUAUAGUAUAUAUUCUAAGAAUAUAGCAAGAAUAUCCAUGAAUAUGUAGUAAUAUCUUUCAAGAUCAAAGAGAUUUCCUUGAGCAUAAAUUUCAAAUAUGCAUUUUGCAAAAGGAAAAUAGAUAUUUCUGUCACGUGCCAAAAUUGCAAUACCUUAUAAAUAUAACAAAAGAUAUUCGCAAUAAAUAAUCAUCCAAAAUCAUGAUAAAUGCACGUACAAAUUUGCAAGGCGGGAAAUUUUUUUUCUCUUACCCAGGUAUAUGUUUCAAAUAUACCUUUGCUUAAAAAAAAUCAUUACCAAUCUUCGUAGGAGAUAUUUUCAGAUUGUACUAAAAUCUGCGUAGAUUCACGAUCGCUUUUCCCUUAUAGAAUUUCCUGCAAUCAACUCAUUUCCUUUUUGGUAUCCAUCAAUUUGGAUCAUUCCUUGACGUUAGAAUAAAAUAGAAAAUCUCCAUAAUCAAAUAUUCUUUCUUAAUUCAUCGUAACAAAGUAUUCAAAGAAAGAAUAUUAUGCACAAUGAUAUUUUGAAAAAUAAAUUCUCACUUAGUCAUGGUAUGAUAAAAAUAGAGAGAAUAAAAUUCCUUGAGUAUCUAAAAAUAUCUUGCAUCAUCACGUAAAACAGAUUUUUACUUUGCAAAAUAUGAUUAAAUCUGAAGUAUAAAAUUAGACAAAAUAAUUUGAAUUAUCUCAAAUAAUCACACGUACUUUCUUCAAUAAAUAUGAUCAUUAUAAAAUCUCAAUCAACCAAGGAUAUAUCGAAUAUCAAGUAUAAUGAGAAUUAUUGCCAAAAUCAAAUUGAGAAUAAAAAAUUCCUUACCAAAUCAUCUUUCUUCUUUCUUCUUUAUAUCCUGCAAAAGUAACUUAUCUUUUCUUUGGUACCCAUUUUUUCUUGGGUCCAUGAGAGUUAGCAGAAUAUGCUGCUUUUAUCCAAUUUUUCUUAAUAGGUCUCCAGACUUUAGGACAAUCUUUCUCAAAGUGUUUUGAAUCUCCACAAUUUGAACAUUUGACGUUAUUUCCACCAACAGGUUUUACAAACACUUUUUGAAAAUGAUUUUUGUAAAAUGCCUUUGAAGGUUUUUGUCUAAGUCUCUCUUUUACUUUAUGAAAAUCAAUUAAAGCAUUAUUUUCCUUAUUGAAACCAAGUCUUGACUUAUUAUAGUAAGGAACUUGUUUAGAAAGAAUAUGCUCUAAUGUUUUUGAUCCAUUUGAAAAUCUUGUCGAAAUAUUUGAAAAUUCUUUCUUCAAAGAAUCAUUUUCUUUAACAAGCAAAUCUCAAUUUUCUUUUAUUUGUAGAAAAUCUUUUUGCAAAAUUUCAAAUUUUUCUUUUUGAGAAAGAUCUUUUUGCCUAAGCCGAGAAUUCUCCUUUUUAAGUUCGAAAAUCCUUUUAAGAGAAGAUUUGAGAUUUGAACAAAGCUCAUUUAUAUAUUUUGAAACUUUGAAAGGAAUUGCUGAAUGACUUACCUUGAUUUUCUCAUCGGAUUCUGAGUCUGGUUCUGAAUCAGACUCUGAUUCUGAGUCUGUGUCUGAGUCAGACUCAGAUUCUGAAUGUGCCAUCAAGCAUAGAUUUCCUUGCUCAUCAUCUUCUUUUAUUAUUCUUUUCUGGCUAUUCUGCUUGUAUUUUCUUCUUCCACUGAAUUUGCUUCAUUUUCUACUCAACUUUUUGAAUUUCUCAAUCAUAAAAGCAAGUUCUUCAUUGUCUAUGUCAUUUUCUGAGUCUGUUUCAUCAAAAACAGCAUUAGAUAUUAAAGCAAUGGACUUCUUACCUUCGGGAUCUUCGUCGUUGAAUUGUUCCACUUCAUAGGAUUGAAGAGUACCAAUCAAUUCAUCAACGGAGAGUGGCAUAAUCCUCUGAGUUUCCUGGAUUGAGGUCUUGACAUGGUUCCAAUCUUUUGAGAGACCUCGCAAGAGUUUGUUGACCUUCAUUGGGGAAGAAAUUGGAUGAUCUUGAUAUGCCAAACCGUUUACAAUUUCUGUAAAACGAUCGAACAUAUCUCCAAUCGACUCUCCUUGCUUCAUCUUGAAGGAUUCGUACUUACCGAGCAAGAAGUUUACUUUUGUCUCUUUUACACGAUCGGUCCCUUCAUAUGUAACAUGAAGUUUAUCCCAAACUUCUUUUGCUAUUUCACAUGAAGAGAUUCUGUUAUAUUCAGCAGGAGACAAGGCGCAAUAUAAAGAAUAAAUUGCUUUUGCAUCAAGCGCUUCUCUUUUGGACAUCUCCGUCCGAGACAUAAGAGCGGGGAGUUUGGUUUCUUUGUCUUUGCCAUUCUUAUUUGAUGUAGACACAGCAAUGGGGUUGAUUCCUCUUUCCACAACAUCCCAUUGCAAGGGAUCUCUGGAUCUUAGGAAUGCUUUCAUUUUUUUUUCCACACGUCGUAUUCCUUUCCAUCAAAAUAUGGUGGCCUUGUGUUGCUUUGCCCUUCCAUAAGUCCUGGUGCCAACAUACUAGCCAUAAAGAAUCUUUAGCUCAAAAGUAAAAACACUUUUAUAAACCGAGCACUUGGCUCUGAUACCAAUUGAGAGUGCUAGUAUGAACACCUAGAGGGGGUGAAUAGGUGUAUAAAAUAAAUCUUGGCAAGUAUGUGCGGAAUAAAAUAAACUUCAAACAAAGGAGUUAGGGAAGAGAAUAAGAACACCGAAAUUAUAGUGGUUCGGCUUAAUCCAAGCCUACGUCCACUCUCCAACGCUAAUAGCCUUCUUGGCUGGAUUCCACUAUGCAAUCAACAAGAGAUUACAACUUCGAGUGCAAACACUUAGUAGACCACACUAUCUCACUAAGUCACUCUUUCGGUAUUUCUCUCACGAUCACAAACGUUUAAGCUCUCAAGAGACAAGUGAAGAUCGCUUAGACUUUGGAAUUAUAAAUUCUACGCUUCGUCUCUUACUUGCUCAUCGGUCCAUGAUCUCCUUAAAUACUCCUCCACUUCCAAACUAGCCGUUGGACAGCAUCCUGGAGAAUCGUCUUCCAAUAUACCCAUUGGACAGCUCUGUAUCUAGAAGAUUUGGUAGCCGUUGAGUGACAAAGGUAGAAUCCCAAAUUGAUUUCGAUCGCCCAUACAAACGAAAUCUUGGUUUCCAUAAGUAAAGCUUCUUCGUAUAGAAAGUUCUUGUCUUCAACAUCCAAUUGUCAAUCAAUUAGAUUGAAUCAAUCAAAUCAAUCUUGAUGUGGAAUCCAAACCAGAUCACUAGCCGUUAUAUGAUUGGGCUUAACUUACGUUCUGUCGAGUCUGGAUGUAAAGUCUGAGAGCAAUAGACUUUACAAUCUGAGUCUGUAGACUUUACAAUCUGGGUCUAAACAUAUCUGGUGCUGAACAGAUUUAGCUUUAAGGUCUGUACCCAGUUCAGCUUCAGCAUAUAGUCUGUCUUUUGGUUCAUCAUUCACGUUCAGUCUGGAAUUAGUCAAAGUGAGCAGACUUCUGAUGUAGAACAGACUUUGACACUAAAGUCUGGCAGUCUUCAGACUUUGAGUCUUGAGUCUGGCAAUCUUCAGACUUUGACACAGAAGUCUGGAAAUCUUCAAAAUAUACUCUGGACAUAUGUUAUGUUCAGUCUUCUGGUCGUCUUCUGACUUUGAUAAUAUCCUCUACAUGUUCUAACAUCUGCAUGGUCUAUUACUCAACCAUCAAACAUGUUAGUAGCCUUUGAUUUAUUUUGUCAUCUUCAAAACAUCAUAAGAGAUUUCCCUAACAUCAUGGAUAUACGAUAACAAAUAUAUUUACUUUUAUUUAAUCAUCAAAAGUUAUGAAGUUGAAACGAACCCUAUUGCAAGCUUAAUCUGUCUCUUUCCUAAAUCAUUAUUUGAGCUUGACGUGAUCAUGGCUGGGUAAACAGUCUAAUGGGUGUAUGCAUUGGUUCAUGUCCCCUCUUGUAAUUAUGUCCCAGAAGAUAGAUCACUUCUAAAAGUUAUUACAGUUAUAGUGACCCACCCCAACUUCUAAAAGUUAUGAAGCUAUGGCAGCAUCUCGUAUAAGUUCUCACGGAAUUGUUUAUACGGUUGUGCAGGCCAUUGAUUAGAGGACUCGGAUGUUUCUCUUCAAGAUGCUCAACCGUUAAUUAUUUAAUGAUAUAAAUGGUUGCAUCUACACUGGCUAGAACUGUGUUAUCAUCUACAGUGAGCAGUACUCGCUGCUUUCUUUUUUCUAUCAAUUGAAUGUGGGCAGAACUUCAUCACAUCAUUGUUAUAAUUUCACGACUUUACUUGUGAUUUGUUCAUAUUUUUGCCAGUAGAGUGCAUGGUCUCUUGAGCCUAUUGUCACUCUGACUUUUGUAAAUGUCUAUCAUGCAUAAAAAUCUGACAGGCAAGAACUGGCAAUCAAAGUUUACAAGACUUCAGUGCUCGUGUUCAAGUAGGUGUGAUAGUCUUAAGUUUUUUGCAAGGCCCCUCCACAGGUGUUUGAAAGUGCAGUACUGCAUUUACUACAUUUUUGUGACUUUAUUCUUUCUAGAUUAAUGAUUAAUAUACAGGUUCUUUUUUUUCUGAUAGCAAUCACUGCUAGAUUGUGGGGAAUGUUGACAUAUUUUGUCUGAUACUUUUUGUUUCUUAGGAGCUACUAUUAGUUGUUUUUCUUUAUUAUUUGGCUAAAAGGAGCUAUUCUUAGUUUGCAAUGUGAUUUAUCUUCAAUUCUACAAUGUGUGGUGUUUUGUGGAUUUAGUUUAUGGUAGUUUUCAUUUUUCUUUUCCCUGUGUUCGUUAUUGUAUGAUUUUUCUUCCAUUGUGGGAUGAGGCCAUGGACACAGCCUCAACAAUGUAAAAGAGUUAUGAAUAUGAGAUCUCAGGCCUGCUCUGUGCCAAGAAAAAAAUUCUCAACGAUAUCUGCCUAACCAAUUUCUGUUCUUUCUUACAUCUCGCUCUGCUCCAAAAUAAUGGGCUCUCUUGAUGCUUUUUACCUCAGUAGUAAGGAUCUUUAAUUCUUCUGGAUUAAAGCCUAUCUUGUCGAGUCAUUGAAGUUGUUCUUCUGCUACCAAACAUUCUUAAUAUUAUGCUUUCUCUUUCAAUAUUAUAUACCGAAGACAACAGACUAGGUGAAAAAUGUGGAAUAAGAUGUGAUUCAGAUUACUAGUGGGAAGCACAUCGGAGACAUGUGCUACAUGACUAUUGCCUGGUUAUAAGGCUCUCAUGAAGGACACUAAUGCUAUAGAAAAGCUUACCAAUCUUGGCGAAAAUUCUAAAGCUUGCUGUAGUGAGUCUAAGUCUGAUACAGAUGUAGAUGAAGAUUCAGAAGGAAAUGAGUCGGCUUCCCAAACUAAGGUGCAGGCUUCUGUUGAGAGGAAGGCUGCUAGAAGGAAAACAAAAAGAAAAACAAAGUCCCCAAGGCAGUGAAGAAAAGAAGGGAGAAGUUGGCCAAAGCCCACAAGACUAGGUAGUCAUUGCUAGCUUGGUAUUAAUUUACAUGUUUUUUGGCAUUAAUUGAUAGAGAGAGUGAGUCGCUUGUUGGAUAAAUUUAAUUUACCAUAUGUGGAGAUGGCUUUGUACUUUUCAGCAGCGGCCCAGUUUUAGCUGAGAGCAAAGUGAGAGGGAUGAGUUUAUGCUGUCUUGUUUUGUAUUAGGGUACCGUUAUUAGAUGACGUCGGUAUAUGAUUCCAAGGUAAAUUGUAUAGCAGCUUCUGUUUUUCCCCCCUUUUCGGCUAGUUAUUACAAGGAAGGAGGUCUCAGUAGGAGUUGGCUAUGACCUAAUUAAGUCUUGUUUCCGGUCCUCUAUCGACGGUUAGGUACCUUCUGUGAUUUUAUUAUAUUGGUUUCAAACACUUUCGGGGGUGAGAAAAUGAAUAGAUUCUAUGAGUUUGAUUGAGAAGACUUGGCUGGCCUAGUUUGGCAUUGCUAUAUCAUGAGAUUAAAGGCCUAUUGCUUUACUGAGGUGAGGGUCAAAGACCAGGAGUUGAUGAAGCGUUGUUUUGGGACACCGAUACCAAUUGCAUUUUGUUCUUUCUUGUGUUACCCAACCCCGAUGACUGUUUAGGCGGGGAUCAAAGACUGGCUAUGCUUUCAAAAGACAGACGCCAUGCCUAAAUCAGUAUUAACAAAGCAUCUAUGCUUCUAAUCUCUUGUUUUCAGCAAUUAGGCAUCGUGUAAUGGCUAGCGGAGAAAGUCCAUUGUCCCUCGGGAACGAGUCUCGUAGCGAUGAAUCUCAUUGUGUUUUGAGAACUUUUUAAGUGUUUGCUUGCGACAAGAUAUGCUGGGAGAAUGGUCCUUGAGAGGAUAUAAUAGGCCCUGGGGUGCCUAUGUAUAAUUAUCACGAAUUUGGUUGUUAUUGCAAUUGUAGUUAUAAUAGCCAUAAAUCCAUGCAAUAUAGAACAAAAGGAUAACCACUACACUUUGAUAGCUGUGAGACCUAUCAAAAGGGCGGUCGGUUUCAAUACAAGUCCAACCUACUUGACCCAUUUUUAUUAUAUAAUACAAUUUGAUCGGCCCAUACUUGAUUCGACAUGGACCAAACUCAUCUAGACUAUUGUGACUCAAGUUUUUAGCAAAAUUUCCCCUUAAAUAUAGAAAAUAGCAUCUUAAAAAAAACUAACAAUUAAAACAAAUUAGACAUGCAAAAAUUAGCAAAUAAUAAAUUACUAAAACAAUUGAACGGAUUCAGCUACUAGAACACUUCUCCUAUUAUUUCUCCUAGUGCUAUAAAUUUGAUCUAAUUUAGCAUAAGAGACCAUGUCUAAAAAGAUAUAUAUGAUGUAAACUUCUACUAUUGGAAAUACUAAAAUAUCUAAAAAUACUUAAAAAUUUAAAUAUAUUCAGAUCCAUCUAGAUUUGAAGUGGCCAAUGAAUUCUUUCCAUUUUAGUUGUUUACUAAAAACUAGUUUAGGGAUGAUUUAAGCAAUUAUCAAUCUUUCGAGGUGUCUAUUAAUGCUAGAUGAUCAUGUGCUGCUAGAAAUUUUGUGUGAUAUCUUUCCACGAUUUCUUAAAUUUGAGUUUUAUUCGAUCUUUAUAUAUGGAAAUAUUAGAGUUUCAUAAUUAUCUAUAUAACCUGUGAAGAUUGACCCAAAAAUAUUCAAGAGACUACAAAAACAAGUUAUUAAAAUAAAAAAUAUCCAUUACAAAUGACGUACAAAGAGAUUGAUAUCCAAAUACUAUAUGAUUGCAUAAGUUUUAAAGAUCCAACUGAACUUCAGAAAUAGGCGCAUCGUUGAAUAGUUGAACAAUCUCUCGAAAACGGUCUGAAUGUCGAGCGAGCACGCAUGCCAAAGCAAACACUAGCAAGCUCAUAUUGACGAUCAACCAGAUGAACAGAGACAGGCUCAUCCAGAGAAGCAACUCGGAACCGAUAAUUCCAAAAACGAUGUAGAAACACCGGUAUAUUGGGUUUGAACUCGCCGGUUCAGUCACUUUGAUCAGUGCUAUAAGAUAAAUGACUUCGCAAAGGAUGUAAAACUGCAGAUUCAUGUGGCUCAGUAUUCUCACAUGCUGUGAAUUGAAAUGUGUGAUGACGAGCAGCUUGAACGAAGUGAAUAGUAUAUGAAAUCUCUUGGUUGAGUCAAAACUUUCCUGCGGUUGCUGUUGUUCCAAUUGCUCAUCGUCUCUGUACCGGAUUAGGAAUAAAAUAAUUGGAAGAAAAUGGAUUCAAAAGAAAAAAAAAUCCUAGCUUCUUAGUUUGUGCUCCAAGUAGAGUUUUUAAUAGCAUAAAGACACGAAUGAAUUACGUACCUCUGGAGCGUCGCUGUAUGAUCCGCCAUGUUCCAGAGAAGCUGCAGCUCCUUGCACUCUGCGAUUGUUGGCGAGUAUGUGUGAAGGAGUAGGCGGAACAAGCUCUUCGUUGCACAAUAUAUAGGGUCAUUUGCUCUGCAUUAUUUAUUGUUUUUUCUGAUUGAGACAGACUUGACUUUUGAAAUUAUCCAUCACAUUUAACCGUUAGAUCUCCUGGAGAGUUAGAUCACUUCUCGAGAUGGUGGGGAGAGGCGGUGAUACUAGGGCUAAGCUCUCAACUGCCUGCACCUAUUCAUUAUCUUCCUUUUUAUUUUUUAAUNNNNNNNNNNNNNNNNNNNNNNNNNNNNNNNNNNNNNNNNNNNNNNNNNNNNNNNNNNNNNNNNNNNNNNNNNNNNNNNNNNNNNNNNNNNNNNNNNNNNNNNNNNNNNNNNNNNNNNNNNNNNNNNNNNNNNNNNNNNNNNNNNNNNNNNNNNNNNNNNNNNNNNNNNNNNNNNNNNNNNNNNNNNNNNNNNNNNNNNNNNNNNNNNNNNNNNNNNNNNNNNNNNNNNNNNNNNNNNNNNNNNNNNNNNNNNNNNNNNNNNNNNNNNNNNNNNNNNNNNNNNNNNNNNNNNNNNNNNNNNNNNNNNNNNNNNNNNNNNNNNNNNNNNNNNNNNNNNNNNNNNNNNNNNNNNNNNNNNNNNNNNNNNNNNNNNNNNNNNNNNNNNNNNNNNNNNNNNNNNNNNNNNNNNNNNNNNNNNNNNNNNNNNNNNNNNNNNNNNNNNNNNNNNNNNNNNNNNNNNNNNNNNNNNNNNNNNNNNNNNNNNNNNNNNNNNNNNNNNNNNNNNNNNNNNNNNNNNNNNNNNNNNNNNNNNNNNNNNNNNNNNNNNNNNNNNNNNNNNNNNNNNNNNNNNNNGAUUUGGCUACGAAGCACUGUAGUAAAGUUGUCUUCGACGGCUGAUCUAACUCUCCAGGAGAUCCAACGGUGCUUUUUAAUGUCUUUUUUCAAAAGAACUUUUUUGGGGUCCUUAAGCCGUGUCAUGCAUUCAAGGUUGCCACCGUGGUCAACCGCCAAAAAUCGGAAGAGAGCGACGAAACUUCCGUUUACAAUGUGUAUGCGCAGCCAACAUUCGAAACCGUGUACAAGAGCUAAUGCAAAGCCGGGAUUAAGCAACGACAUGAUCGUCCAAACAAUCUUGACACUACGCUUGGAAGUGCCCUUUUCAUUUAAUUUCCUUUUUGUUGAUUAGAAAGGACAUUAGAUUAAAAGGGCGUAUGAAUAACUAAUAGUAAUUAGCACGCGACUAUUUCAUAAAUCUAAUGGGCAUAUAGAAGUUCAGCAACAAUAGAAAGUACCGUUGUUUGGAGCAUCUCCCGAAUUAUUCUCGGAAAGGAUUGGAUUUGGGAUAAAAACAUGAAGUUGCGUGGCAUGCUUGUUGUAAUCUAUUUCGAUUCACUCGCCUUGAAUUAUUGUAAAUGUUUGUUUAAGGUGUGUUUAUAUAGGCUUAUACUCCUUACUUUUUCCUUAAUCCACGUCUUACGAUGGACAUGUAUUGACUUUCUACUCACCUGUGACUUAAAAAUUUCAUGAUACACAAAUUUGGACACAUUAAUCCAUUUAUAUAUAUUCAUAAUUUUCUGAAAUUUAGAUAGUAUUUUGAAUUUUGCCAUUUUUUUUCCAUUUGUUAAAGCAUACUCAAACAUGCCCUUAGUCUGACAAAGCAAUGUACCAAACGGUGUACAAGCACUCAUUUGCACAUCCUCUCACCCUGACAAUCAGAUCCACGGUUGAGAGAACGUGCAUGCUCUUUCGAACAUUCUCUCAAACGUCGAUUUGAGGAUGUGCGCUCCUACCCGUCGAUCAAAUAGAUGGUUGAGGAUGUGCGCUCCUACCCGGGAACGCGUAGUCGCUUUGGGUCGCUCAGCCGCUGCAAUGGCCUCAGUACAGUUGAGCGCGUUGCUCCCGCAGCAAGAGCUCCAUCCCUUCGAGUCCAUCCCCGUUCAUCGCCCCCCUUCGCGUCCCUAUUCAGGUAGCUUUCUCUCCUUGUACAUUCACAUUGUAAUUAGCCUCAUAGAGCUUUUUUCUUUUUGAUUCUUGAUAUUUGCUAUGAAGCACUAACACUCUUCGGGAAUCUUUGUAUUAUGUCAGACACUCUUCGAUGCUCGGUCAAUAUGUGUAGAAAAAUCUGACACCUAGUCAACUCUCCUAACACUCUCCAACACUCGAGUUCGGAAUUCCGACACACAAAUUUGUAAUUCCAACAUGAACAUGGUUAAUUUUAAAGAUUUUCAAUAAAUAAGAGGUCAAGAUAUAAAUAUGUAAAAAAUAAUAAAUAAUAAAUAAGGGAAGAAGAAAAACAUAAUCUUCUCUUUUCUUCUGACCCUCACUUCUUGAGACACACAAUUCACCGCUCAAGUUUGUUUUUUUCUCUUAUCUUCCAACAAACGCUGACGCGUGAGUGUAGAAUGUGGAUUGCUUGUUUCUUUUGUCCUUCAAGUUUUAUGGAUUAUUGGAAUUGAAAUGAAUUUGUCAAAUUGAAAUAAUGAAUGAUAUUAACAAAUAGUGAAUUAAUAUUUUUAGUGUAAAUUUAUUAUAGGCCCUUUUCUAUUAUUUAUUUAUUUAUUUAUUUAUUUGUGAAUUUGAGUCAAAUUAAUUCGAUCAAAAUAAUCAUAAAGAUAAUAAUUUAUCAUGUAUGUAUAAAAAUAUACAUUUAAUAUACAACAUGUGUCAACUUGUUAGAAUUUUUUAUUUUUUGGGAAAUGACGUGUCGGUGUAUCGUGUCGUGCUGUAUUAUGUGUCGCAAGUCACUUGUCGGUGUUGAUAAUACUUAGAUAUCUGGCCGUGAGAGGCAUAUAUGCAGGAAGGAAAAAAAGUCGGUGAAUGCAGGAUUAGGAACAAUGAAUGAAGGAAUUAAAGAAGGGGAAGAAGGAGAAUAAGUAAGACGAGGACGAGGAGGAAGAGGCGGGGUUGUCGGAUUCGGAAAUCAAGAAGGCAUUGUAAUUAAGAGGCAUGCUUGAUUCUUGUAUGUGGCCAACUCCCUUGCACCAAUCUAUAGCUUGCCCGAGAAUGAAAUUUGAUAUCUCCUUUCUCCCGAUGGGGAUUAGAGAUUGUCUUCGAUGAUUACAACAUGUUUGGCUUGUUUGAAAUGCCUAAAGUCAUGGUUCUCUUUCUUUUCUGGUUUGAAUCGAAGGCAAUAGGAAGGGAGAUCUGAUCUUCACUUUAUGCUUUGAACUUUGAAGCAUAUGGCUAGCAUCCUAAAGGAGCUGUGAAAACGGAUUGGAUUUUUAAUCUCAUGUGCUUUGGGAGAACACUGAAAGGACUGCUCGAAGAACUUCUUACAGUAGAAAUUUGAACGAGGAGGAGGUUUUAGUAUAUACAAGGAGUGGUUUCUAUUUUUAGGGGCUGUUCUUUUGGAAAGGGCUGGAGAAUCUAGUGAUUAAUUUAGUGUGAUUAGAGCAAUAUGCUACUCAGAAUGGUUGCUUUCCUAUAUUGCACAGUUUCAAUCAAUUACCUGAGACGCUAUGAAUUCUUAUUGAAGUUCUUAAAUCCUACCUUUGUUGCGACAAGAGAUUGUCUACAGGCCUCACUAGCACUUUCUAGAAUUGAUGCAUUGAGUGCUCAUGCUUAUCGUGUGGCAAUGGUUGAAAUAUAUACGUUGGGUGCACUGGGUCUACUUGCAGAAAUGGUCAGAUAAAUGACAUCACUGAAUCUCAUUUUCACUGUCUCCCGGUUUUAGCUGUCUGCACUUUUUGAGUUUCGCCGAUCUCAAUAGUUGUGAUAGAAGUCCAUUGUUGGCACACAGAGAUAAGCUAUUCUACAUUUUGAUAGUUUUUGUUUUUAGGGGUCAGAACAUUUGACUUGAAUAAGCAUGUGUGGGACUAGUACUGUGUCUACCACUCCCUUCUGCAUCUAAACAUGAUAAGGUGGACACUGACAUAUGUUCUCUAGCUUCUUAAUGUGUUGUUGAGUAUUUAGCUUGUUGAAAUAAUGGAUUGUAUGAAUGAAUACUGCAGGAAUGGGAGGGAAGGGUGAAUGUUCCAUGUCCAGCACUCUGACAGUUUCAAUUCAAGGCAGUGGAUGGGACAUUGCUAUUGGCAAUAUUAAAAGUAAUGAGAAAGCUGACCGUGCAAUCGUCAAGCAAGUAAUGUACAUUUUCAUUGAAAGAUUGAUCAACUUUAUCCCAAGUGUUUAGUAAAAUAUUUCCAUAAAUUCUUCAUGGUUCCAUUGUAGUAACAGCCACAAUAAGGUCUCUUUAUAAUAAGUGUAAUCUGCCGCUUGGACUUUUCUCAAGUCAACAUAUCCUCUGAUCUAAAGAUAGAAUUUUCGUCAAGUUCUUCAUUGGCCUCCUUCCUCUUGCUUCGCACCUCUAUCUCAGGGUCAAAUCUUCUGUACUCGGCAUGAAGCACGAGUGGAAUUAAUUUUCAGAAUUUAUUUAAUCAUAAAUUUUUUUGAAAGUGGAGCGAAGCCUAUUGCAACCUCAAUCUGUCUCUUUGCUGAAUCAUUAUUUGAGUUUGACUUAACUAUAACUGAGUAAACUGUUUGAUGGGUGUAUACAUCGGUUCAUGUCUCCUCUUGCAAUGAUUAGUUAUAAUUAAGAUACCCUCCUCUGCCGUCUUCCCUCCCUGCUCCACUGACUUCGGUCACGAGCUCUGCGUCCCCGCAAGCUCACUUGCCGAAUCUAGGCUUUCUCCUUUGCUACUGUGGAUUUUAGUUUUUUGGAGAAUUUUUUAAAGAUUACGAUCGGUUGUAAAGCCGCUCAUCACGUCGUCUUUGCGCUUUCAUAAUGGAAAAGGCUUGAUUUCGGCACGAAAUUGUUUCCUCAUUUCGCUCAUGAAAAGAAAAAUUGAAAUCGUGACCUUCUGCUACGCAUUCAUAGUUUCAAUCAAAUUCACUGGAAUCUCGCUAGGGGUGAUCAAUUCCCGGUUCAGUCCGGUUCCAAGGUGGAACCGUACCGGGAGCACCAGUUUCCAAAAUUGCAAACCGUGGACCGGACCAUCGGUUCCAGUCCGGUCCGGUCAAAAAAAAAUCAGCUCUACUUUUUUGCACUAAAGAGUGACCACACUCCGGACCGAUCAAUCUAAUUCGAUUCUCGGGCGAUUCAACAAAAUUAAUUACACAUGUUUCCACAUGCAAAAUAUUCAAACUUCACUUGUGUAAUUCACACUUAACUUUAACCAUGAAGGCCAUGAACAAUUUAGCUAAAUGGGGUGCUUGGCUUAGAUUUUAUAGACAAUCUCUCUUCUACUCUUUGAAUGUUUAGUCGAUGUGAGACUCUUGGAGGCUUGAAGUGCCUUGUGAGUCUCUUGGAGCCUUAGUCCCACAUCAAGUAGAAGAUAAAACUAAAAAGGAGAUUUUUUCUAUAAAUAAAAGAGUAACAAAGAGGUCUCAUGGCCACAUAAGAGGUUGCUAUCUCAAAUUGCAAUUUUGGUUGCAAUAAGUUAUCAUGUUUAUAUAUUUUAUUAGUUCUAUGUAUAUAAAUUAUAUAUACAAAAAUUUGGUUCGGUCCGGUUCCCACCUUGGAACUAGGAACCGGACUACCGACCGUGGAAAUUGCCCAAAACCGGCUAGUUCGGUCCGGUCCGGCCGGUUCCCGGUUCGGGUGAUUCCCAUUGCACAUCCCUAAAUCUCACCAAGAUUUAUCACAUUUUGGGUCUGUUUGGAUUAUUUCGACUUUCAGUUUUGCUCAGAGACGCUUCACUCUGGAGACGGUUUGUCCAAUUUCAACUGAUUGUUCUCUGGAGACGGUUUGUCCAAUUUCAACUUAUUGUUUUUUGCUUGUUUAGUGCUGCGGUUCAGAGCAAUCGCUGAUGGAGCUUUUCCUCUGUGCAGAGCGACCCGUGGGGGAGUUGGAGUGGCUCUCGCGGUUUGUUGACGACUCUUUCGCCAACAUCCCAGCGGACUCGCUUGCCGGGACCUGUCUGAGGUCCGCAAAACAAACACACGAUCACAAGGGCCAAAGUGAUCCCAGCUUGAAGCUGAAGGGAGGCUACAAUCAGUCUCUCCACAAAGGCCAGGACUGAAUCUUCUAGGGAUUUGACAAAGGGCAACAGACAAGGAACAAGAGCGAAGAUCUAUAGAGGAGAGAGACGACAGACGAGAGAAUCACGAACGCAGGUUUUAAGGGUAAAAGGAAUAAUGGACUAAGUGGGUUGUAAAUAGGUUUAUAACCUAACUUAUUUAAAACUCAUUUAUUUUGAUCUUUCUAUAAAGAAUCUAUUUAAGUUUUUUUUUUAUCGAAAGAUACGGACAUUUCAUUCAUAUGUGAGCAAAGGUACAUCCCUUAAACAAGGCAUCAAUACAGAGUAAGUCCAACAUAAGUUGUGGGGGAGAAGAAGCCCAGUUGUGUGGUAGGUUUCCUCGGCCAUGGGCCUUCGCGGCCCAGUCAGCUAGGGCAUUUGUUUCCCUUCGGUAGUGCAGCACGCUCAGAUUGGAGAACAGCGUCUUCAAGGCUACACACUCAGUCAACAAAGCUCGACAAUCCCAUGGUGGUUCGCGGCAUCCGUUGAUGGCCUCAACUAGGAUGAGAUUAUCCGACUCAAUGAUGAGGUAGUCUUCCAUCUGUUCUUUCUGUAAUAGCUCCCGAAGAGUGUAUAACAGAGCUUGGGUCUCUGUUUCAAAGGCAGAUCGAGCCCUAACAGUGCGGACGAAUCCUCCAAGCAAACUGCCAGAAGAGUCCCGAGCAAUACUAGCUAUCGCGCCUUCAUGGUGUCCACUGGGAAAGGCCCCGUCGAGAUUGAUCUUUAUUAUCCCCUGUUGCGGAGGUUCCCAAUUCCGAUUAGGGUUCAACCAUGUCUUCCGAGUAAGUUUUUCAAGCUAUGGAAUUCGACUGCCUACCUGAGCCAUAUUAAUUGAUGCUUGAACCAGAUGAUCCGGGUGUGGUCGCUGAUUUCGAAAAACAAAGAGGUUUCGGGCUUUCCAUAUAUGCCAAAACAAAGCCGCGAUCUGCUCAAAAACCGGUACGCCUCUCGUCUGAUCCUUCUUCUGGUUGAUAUGCGUAUGAAGCCAUGUAUCGAUGCGCUGUAUGCUUUGGUGUGAAACUUUAAUUUGCACGCUGUAGUGAUUCCAUAUGUAUUUUGUCCAUGGACAUAGAAGGAAUAGAUGUUCCGGGGUUUCGGGUAUGUUUGAUGAGCAGAGUUUACAAAAAGGGUCUGGGAUAAUCUUCCUGCGAUAUAAAUUCUCUGCUGUAGGUAGAGCAUUCUGGCACACAGCCCAAAGAAAUACACGAACCUUUGGAGCUAUCUGAGUUUUCCAAAUCUGUCUCCAUAAUGUAGUAGGGGGCUGAUAGGAGGAUGAAGGCUGAGACUGAAACUUGUGAGAUGCUACUUGUUUAAUGAAAUGAUAACCACUCUUAACAGAAUAACAACCAUCUAAAGUGUCUGUCCACACAAUUUUGUCCUCAGAGGAGGCUGGUGAGAGAGGAAUAGAUAGUAUUUCGUCAACAAUGUGGUCCUGAUAAAAUUGACGCAGUAGAACCUCAUUCCACUCAUGCUGAUUAGGCAGAAUAAGGUCCUGCACUUUAUUCGGUUCUGUCCUGUUGUAUGGUCCACCUAGAACUCCCAAUUUCAGCCACUUGUCUUCUCUGAUUUUAAUCUGGGUACCAUUCCCUACUGACCAUUGGAGCUUGUCAGUGAUAGAAUCCCUACCUAGAAUAAGACUUUGCCAGCCCCAAGAAGACCUCGUCCCCUUUUUUGUAGACCAGAAACUUGUGUGAGGGAAGUAUAAUGCUUUGAAAACAGUGCUCCACAAAGAGGAAGGAUUAAGAAAAAGUCUCCAUGCUUGCUUACCCAAUAGAGCUUUGUUAAAGGAGAUUAAGUCAUGAAAACCUAAACCUCCUUGAUCUUUACUCUUUUUAAGAGUUUCCCAGUUUUUCCAAUGAACGCCUGAUUUGUUGCUACUGUUUUUCCACCAGAACCUUGCUGUUUGUUGUUCCACUGCCUUACAUAUGGAUACGGGAAGCUUAAAAAUCGUCAUAGCAUACUGUGGUAGGGCCUGAACCACCGAUUUCAAUAGAACCUCCUUCCCUCCCUUAGAGAUUAGGUUUUCCUUCCACCCCUCCAGCUUAGUAUUAACUCUACUUAAGAUCCAUGAAAACAUAUCAUGUUUAGAAGAGCCCCAAUCAGAAGGAAUGCCUAAAUAUUUCCCUGUUCUAUCCAAGAUUGGAACUCUAAAAUCGUUAGCCAAAUUAAGUCGAAGGGAAUAGGGGCAAUUUUUACUCAUAAACAAGCCUGAUUUGUUUCUGUUUAUCUCUUGACUAGUAGCUAGGCAAUACUAAUUGAGAAUGUUGGAUAAGUUUUGGCUCUCCCGUAGCCGACCAUCAAUGAACAGGAUGGCGUCAUCAGCAAAGAAUAAAUGUGAUAACGUAGGACACCAUCGGUUGAGUUUAAUGCCUCUUAAAUGACCCAUAGCAACAGCAUUUUGGAUAAGAGUAGAGAGUAAAUUUGCGACGAGAAUGAAUAAAUAGGGGGAGAGAGGGUCACCUUGCCUUAAACCUCGAGAUGGGCGAAAAUAAUGGAGAGAUUCCCCAUUCAGUUUUACACUAAAAGAAGUCGUUGAAACACACUGCAGCAUCCAUCUCACCCAUUGAGCAUGAAAUCCAAGUCUGGACAGGUAAUCUUGUAAGAAAUCCCACUCCACCCUAUCGUAGGCUUUCUUCAUAUCCAACUUGAGAAUUUCCUGAAAUUUUUUCUUUCUGUCUCUAGAUUUCAGCUGGUGUAUAACCUCUUGAACUAUAAGAAUAUUGUCUUGAAUUUGUCUACCGGAGAUAAACGCACUUUGUUCUUUAGAAAUCAGCACCGGCAGCUAGGUCUUUAGACGGUUAGCCAAAACUUUUGAUAUGAUAUUGUAGAUAAAAUUACAUAAAUUGAUGGGGCGAAACUGUUCUAACCUCUCGGGAUUCUGGAUUUUCGGAAUAAGGACUAUGGAAGUUCGGUUGAUUUCCGAUGGCAUGUUUGCUGUAGCAAAAAAUUGUUGAACGGUUGAGAAGACCUCUUCCUUUAUAAUGUCCCAAUGAUGACGGUAGAAUAAUCCAUUUAACCCAUCCGGUCCUGGCGCUUUAGUUGCGCCUAGUUGAAAAGUAGUUCGUUUGACUUCCUCCCUUGUUACUUCUGCUGUUAGAUGUGUAUUCAUUUAUGCUGUUACUAUUGGAAAGCAUUGCAUUAAAAUAGGGCCAUAAUCCCUUUGACCUGCAGAAGUGUACAAUUGCUGGAAAAAGUUGAGUGUCUCGAGCUUCACUCGAUGUGGAUCGCGAAUCCAUUCCCCGUUCUCAUUCUGUAAAAUGCUGAUUUUAUUCCUUUGGCGCCUUUGUAUUGUAGUAGCAUGGAAGAAUUUCGUAUUACGAUCACCCCAGCACAUCCAGUUAAUGCGAGAACGCAUGGCCCAAUAUUGUUCUUCUUGUGCCCAUUUUUGUUGAAUUUGACAUCUCAAGGAAGUGACCAGAUCUUUGUCAUAAUUACAUGCAGGCUCGUUAAUACAGUGCUGAAGUUGCUGUUGCAAAAGAUAUAAUUGUUGCUGAGCUGCUUUAAACUUGUUCCUGCUCCAGCUGGCCAGUGCCGUAGUGGUGUUCCUAAUCCGCUUCGAAAUUUGGAGCUGCUCGGUUGAAUGAGGAGACCAAGAUUUGUAUAUCACCUCUCGGCAUUCUGCAUCUUGAAGCCAAAAGGCUUCGAAGGUAAAGCACUUUUUCCGCUUGACUAGCAUUGCAUUGGUGGUUAAUAAAAUCGGGCUGUGGUCGGAACCUAUGGCUGGAAGGGUAAGAACCUCUGCCUCUGCAUAUUUUAAUCGCCAUUCGAUUGUACAUAAUGCACGAUCGAGUCUUUCCUUGACCAUUUCCUCGCCACUUCUGUUAUUAAUUCAGGUGUAGGCACAACCUUUUGUCUCUAGGUCCAGCAAUGCACAGUCAUAAAGAAAUUCCUGAAAGGCAUGCAUUCGGUAAGGUUGAACUGGUCUCUUGCCUACCUUCUCCCAUGGAUGUAAAAUGUCAUUAAAGUCCCCUAUGCAAACCCAAGGUAAAGUGUGCAAGGUAUAGAGAUGCCUUAAAUCUGCCCAAAACAGUUGUCGGUGUUGAAAGACCGACGGCGCAUGUAAACAGGUGAGACCCAUAGGUGAGUCACUACCAAUUUCAGUACAUUUAGUAUCUAUAUAGUGCGCAUUAGAGCUAUUAAUAUGAAGAGAGAUCUGAUUCGUCCAAAAAAUAACCAUUCCUCCAGCCAAACCUAUAGGAUUAACAACAAAACUGUUUGAAAACUUAAUUUUGCCUUGGACACGCUGAAUAAGAAAUUCUUGAUUGCGAGUUUCCAUCAAAAACAGAACAUCUGGCCGUUCUCGAGCCACUAAGGCCCUAAGUGCUUGAACUAUCAAGGAGUUGCCCAAUCCUUGACAGUUCCAACUCAUUAUCUUCAUUUAUCCUUGGGUGGCUUAUUGGGGCAAGCCACCUCAACCCAAUCUCUAACGUUUUCAGCCAUUAAGAUGGGAGUUUCCAGUAGUUGACACUCUUCAAAAACUUCCGGAAGAACAGGACGAGAUCCAUAUGGAGAAUACCGCUUGACUUUCUUGACUGGAGAGGUCUUAGUCGACAACAGAGGUUUUUUUUAACUUUUUUGGAGUUGGUAACUGACUGUAUAACUUCUGUUAUAGCAUUGGAACAUGUCAGACCCGGACCUUCAGGGGGAGACGAAGUGGAUUCAAGAGCUGUCUGCCCAGUGACAGGGAUGGGAUAUGUUGGCUGCAGAGAUGUGGUGGGAAAAGGGAGAUGAGGAGCCUUCUGAGGGUCUGUUACUACUUGCUUAUUUAUGGAAACUGAUGGAUCAGGAGGGAGCAAUAGCAAGCCUUGUGGAGGAGUUUCAGGUACCGAUUCCUCUCCAUCUUCCAUAAAAGGUUUUGUUUCAUAGAAAACCUGCCAGAAGGGGCUAGGGUCCCUAGCUUCAGCCCUGAGCCAUUGGCCAUAAUACAUCGUGUCACGCUUAUCAAAAUUUGACUCUUCAUAAGGGAUAUCUUUGCAAUAGGAAGCAUAAUGACCAAGUACGCCACAAGAAUAACAGAAGGUCGGUAAUCUUUCAUAUCGAAAGUCUAACCAGAUUGAUUUUCCUUCCACUCGAAUAAGCUUUCCCGGUUUGAGAGGCUUCUGAACAUCCAGAUCCACCCGAGCUCUUCCUAUUUUAAGACUGGAGCCAUCUUUCGCCUCAAUUUUAACAUCCAGAACAGGUCCAAGAUCACUGACUACCUUACUUAUCAACUGCUCUGUGCAUCGUUCUAACGGUAAGCCAACUAUUUGGACCCAGAAUGCAUAUGUGGUGAAAUCAUAGCAAUGUAAGGGAGUGUUAGGGAUCCACUGUUUGAGAAUAAUAAGAUUAUUUGAGAAAGACCAUGGCCCACUGUCUAAAAUACGCUGCUUUGUCCCUUCAGAGGGAAAUUUAAAGACAUAAAGACCUGCUUCUCUUUGUGAAAUAUCAACAUUAUCUACACGCCAUACCUUCUUCAUCGUACUCUGAAAAGCGGGGAAGUUUAUAGGAGAAUUUGCAAGAAUUUUCCCUACAAGUGUUAACUUACAUUCCUCAAUUUUCUCUGCAGGAGGGGCUUCAUUCCAAACCUCAAUAUGCUGAGGAGACCACAGUCGACCCAGGCGAGUACAUAAAGCAUUAAGUCGAGCUUCCUCUUCCUUGCUACCAGUAUCCAUAAAGAGUAGAAUUGGCAAAAGAUGGACCAGAGUUUAGAAAGGCUAAAAAAGCACAUGCAAAAUACCAGUCCGAUAGAAGUUAGGUUGUGGAUUAGACAUGCAGAUGAAUCGGUCGACCCAACCUCCAAAUUAGAGAAGAGAAGACCAAAUUCGACCGAACAGAGUAUGAAAAAGAGCGAUGGAAAGGGUGGAAACAGAAGUAAGAGGAAGAUGGAUGAAACAGAGAAGAAAGGGAGCCGGUACUUUCAAAAUAGGGGGGUGCGACUCCUGAAACGAAGUCCAUAAAAGGAAGACGUGGGAUAUUCCGUUGAAAACGCCAUGCGAGAAGAAAGCUUGAUGUGGGAAUUCUGAAAACUGGGAUUAGGGUUGAGAAGGGAAGAUAAACAUAGAAACUACCAAGAGGUAGAGGGCGACUCUACAAAGCGAGAGAGUUUUAGUUGACCUGUGAAAUUCUACGUGAAUUUAAAUGAUGGAGAACCCAUUUUGACAGAUUUGCUUGAAGCAUCCCACAAGUUAUUCUUGGAAGCGAUUGGAUUGGAGCACUGGAGUAAGAAUAUGAAGUUGUAUGGCAUGCUUUUGAUUUUCUAUUUCAGUUCUCUCCCUUGGGAUUAUUGUGAAUGUUUGUUUAAGGCAUGUCCUGAUAGGCUUCUACUCUUUUCUUUUUCUUUUUUUAAUCCUAGUCUUGCGACACACGAGACACAAAUUUAUACAUAUUAAUUCAUAUAUAUAUAUAUAUAUAUAUAUAUAUUCAUAAUUUUCUGUAAUUCAAAUAAUAUUUUGAGUUCCGGCGAAUUUUUCAUUUGUUAAAGUGUACACAAACAUGCUCUUAGUCUGACAAAGAGGAUAAGCUUCAUUAUUCUUGUCCUUUCAUUUUUAGAAAUAGUUGAAUCCCAUUGUGAAGAUGUUGAACUUUGCUAUUGUAAUGUUUGAGUUGAUUGGAGAAAAAUUGUCCAAAAAUUUCUAAACAUAUUGUAUGGUAGUUGAUUCAUUCCUAAAUGAUUCAAUGUAAUCAAUUUAAUUUUAAACAUUUUGAUAUUUAUCAAAGUAAUAAUUUUAACCAAUUUUGACUAAAAGUUGAUGCUCAAGGUCUGGAGUCCUCUAAAGUAAAGUGCAUGUUUGUGAAAAUUCUCAAUGUCCCUCUAAACAUCUCUUCUUCUUCUCCAACCUGGUAGGAGCCUCUAAGAAAUAAAGCUUGGCUAAUUAGAAAUGUUUCCAUCCCGGCAUCCUUGACUGCCUCUAUACUCUAAACUAAAACUCUGAAUAUUUGCUGCUAAAAGAUUGUCUUGAAGGGCUUAAACAAGGUUCGCCCAUUGUUAGAAGGCAUACUUGCAUCAAUUAAUUUUGUUUUCCCUAGUUCUAAGCAUAAAAUCUGUUGACACCUAAUUUUGGAAAAAUAAAAUUGCAUUUUGAACAAAUAAAAAGAAAAAAAAUGAAAAUGGGGGAAAUUGAUUUGAUUGAAUUAUGCAAGGAAAUAUGGAAUUCUGAUGGAUGUCCGGAUUUUAUUAAAUGCAGCAACAAUUUUGAAAUCAAGUGAAAAAUGGGCAAGAAUUGAGCUGAUUGCCAAAUCAUACAGAUUUGAUUUAAUGUGAUAAGAAAUGGUAACUCGGGAAAUGCCAUGUAAAGAGAUCGUUUCGAAUCACUAUAAAAGAGAGGCUCAUUUUUCAUGACUAGUGUGCGUGGACGAUCUCGAGAAUUCUCCGAUUGGUCUAUUGGAUGGUGCAGUCCUCUUGACGACAUCCCACAUCCAUCAUGCAUCAUGGAUAUUGACGACAAGCAUAAAGCUAAGUCAAGCUUCCUUUGUUAAGUUUGAUUGUGUGCAAUUCCAAUUUGCUAUUCGAACUAAAGUGAUUUUAUUUUUGUUUCUUGCCUAGAUUAAACUCCUACAUCUCCGACGAUAAUUCCAGCAGCGAGACAUCAAAAUGGCCAGUGUACCCAAGCACUGAUUGCCAUCCAGUGAUUUCACUGUGAUAAAACCGGGUUGUUUCUCUCUCUAUUAAAGUUGUUCAUUCCAUAUUUUCGGUAUUUACUUUGUUUUGCCACACAUAUUGAAUACAAGGCCAUUGAGAGAAAAACGUGAGUGAGGGCGAGACUUAGAUUGAAAGAGAGAGAGAUCCUUACAUCUUGAGGACGACUUCUCUGGACGACCAAUAUUUUACCCUUCCGAUAUUGCGCACGGACCUGCAAAGCCCACACCCAUAUCACGACUAGUUGCUCCUGCCACGGAUAUCCCAGGUCAUCCAGAAAAAUGCAGCGUUCCUUCCAGUCGCGAUCUCGAGUUCAGGGGCUUCGUCAAUGGGAACCCUUGCCUAGCCGUGGAAUUUGAUUUGCCGGUCGCAUGGAAGUCCCUCAACGUGAAAUCAAUGAAAUUCACCGGGUGUGGUGAUCAAAGAAUCGGAGAUCAGAGAGCACAGCUACGCUCGUGAAGGAAGGAGGGGAGGGCCAAUAAAAAAUUCUACUUUGGUCGCAUAGGGGAUGUUCUUUUUCACUGUUCUCUCCACUCCAUUAUGGACACCUCACUUUUCAAAGAUCUCUUUUUUUUUUUUCUUGGGCGGUGCUAAUGCGAUCUGCUUGCCGCUCAUGAAUUAACGCUGCUUCCGACGUUCCUACAGUCCUGGUGGUUACCAAUCGACUUCGAUUUUCAUUGGUGAAAGUUCAUCAAUUGUUUUGUUGGCCUGCCAUGCUGAGCCGUGAAGCCUCGACGUGAGCUACUCCGACACCAUCCUUUGGCCCGACGUCAAGACAAGCUACCGUCCCGUUGGGCUCAUCCCCGAAGCAAGCAUCCAUGAAGUUUCUGUUUUGUAGGUUUGUUGAUCGUAAGCAUCACCGAGAGACCCAUCGGCCAGCAUCACUAUGAACCACCACGUGACCCAUCGCCACUCAAGUCACCACCGUCAGUUGCGCCAUUGGCCAUCGUUUGCAAGCCAUCCAUAGAAAAAAUUUCAAUUUUGAGUUAUAUCCGCAAAUUAGGUAAAAAAAUCUCAUCCAAAUUUGAUUUAGAUAUCAUAUUGCAUAGGUUGAUGAGAUUGAUAUCUAAUUAAAUCUUUUUGAGUAAUAGGCAUAAUGUCAAUUAGGAUUUAUUGCCUAAUUUGCAACCGCACGUCAAUUUUUUAUUCCAUCUAUAAGGCUUUAGAUGGAAUAAUUAAUUAUGUGGGAAUAAACUUGAUAUCUUGAUCUUUAAGGCUUAAGAUCAAUUUAUCGAUUUUAUUAGCGAAAUAAUCAAUUUGAUUAGAUAUCGUUUCCAAAUUCGAGUGAUGGAUAAUAUCUUUGAUGACUGUGGAUGAUUUGAUGCUUAUCUUUUAAUUGCUUUAUUUAUCCCAAAAAUACAAAAAAGAAUGCAUUUACAUAUCAUGUAGAUUACAAUAAAUUUCCUAGAUAGAAUUGCAUGAUAGAAUAGUUAGAUUCUAAACUGAUUAUAUUAGUUAGCAUGUUUAGAUGAUAUCUAGGUUAGAUAUUAUCAUUGAAUUAAAUUGCAUGUCAAGAUAAAUUUCUGAGUUAAGAUAGGAUUUGGAUUAGUCUAUUUCCUAACUUAAGAUAGAUAAUAUCUCAUUUUAGUUAGAUUUUUAAUUAUGAAAUUUUUUAUAAAAAAAAUCACAAAUAAAAUGUCAUUGCAUGUCAUAUAGAAUUAGAUUCAUCAUUUAGUGAUUGUUGUUAGGUCCAUUUAAUUAGAAAUUAUUUAGUGAUUGUUGCUAGGUCCAUUUAAUUAGAAAUUGCAUGUCAUUAGAAUUAUGUCAUUUAGUUAUAUUGCAUUGCAUAAAGCAUGAUUCUCAUUAAUUAAAUAGAAACAAAAAGAAAUUGCGCGUUAAUUAGAAAUCAUAUCUAGGGUUGAUGAUGUGAAUUUUAAUCUAACAACGCAGAUGCUUUCGUUGCUAUAAGGUAAGUCCCUACAAUUUAUUCAUUGUUUAUCUGGAUGUUAAAUUAGUGGUUUGCGCACCCGCGUGAUUGCCUCACAUGUUAGAAAAAUAGAUUUAAAAUCAAUUCAAGUUGCCUAUAAAAGUAUUUUUGAAAAUAAAAGAAUGGUACUGAAAGGGUAUUAGAGAAAUCUAGUGUAACCAAGUCCCCGUACCCAUAGUCUCUAGUUCGUAGGAGUAAAGUAAAUCUCCUGUUAUUUUACUUGGAUUUCUAGUCGAACCAACAAAAAUUGAUUAGUGGCGACUCCUAGUUAAAAAUCAAUUGCAUGUUAAAAUUUGAACCAAAGUCGCGAAUUGGUAUGGGCUUGGGAGAGCUCGAGUUAAGUUUAGGUUUAACAAUCCAUUAGCCAAACCCUAGGUGGUUCACCGAAAAAUUGGUCGCGACAAAAUCCCUCAAGAUUUUGUUGUUCGUGGAAAGCAAGUGUCUUUUAAAAGGCUUCAAGGUCUUCUCUAAUUGGCCGGCCAUAAUCUCCAAGAAAAGCAAAAUGGUGUUCAUAUGUACAAGAGUCUAGAAUCCCUUUUUUUUUUAUAAAAAAUAUGUCUACUAGAAAUCCUAAAACUUAUCACGAAAGUGCAAUUGAGUCUUAAAAUUUUUAAAAAGUGCAAUUAAGUCUGAUAAUUUGUAAUUGUCAUCCCAUUGUGAAGAUGUUGAACUUUGAUUUUGUGAUGCUAGAUCUAAUGGGUAAGUCAUGCAACAGAGUUGUUUGCUCGGUCUUUGUUUUGUUGUCCAUGGUAACUACGAGGCUUAUUUGUAAGACAAAAGUUAAAUAAACAACGUGAUGUUUUCAUGAUGCAAGCAGCUGAAUCAAAUGAGUAGUUCGUGGCCAAAGUACUAGUGUUCUUGUUGACUUUUGGUGAAAAUACCCAUUUGCAUAGAUCCCCAAGUCCAAUAAAAUUCUUAUAGAAUUGGGAUUUAUCUUUUUGCUUGAAUUAUUAGACUUGCCUAAUCUAUUAGGAUUUGAAUUCUAUCAGACUUUAAAGAAGUUUCAUCUUUUGGAGUAGGAGGUUGAUGCGUGUGGAAAGCUUAGAUGUGAAGCUUCUCAGCAAGCUCCCCUAUGCUAGGCAUCUCAAGCUUCCUUAACUUCUUAUCUAGAGCUUCUCAAGCCUUGCCUUUAAGAAAAUCAUCGUCCAACACGAUUCUGACGUAAAGACCUGGUAAGGCUUUGUUUGGAAGGGAGAGGGUGAAUGGGGAGUGGGUGUGAGGAAACUACCCGGCCCUUCCCCCGUAGACUAAAAGUCAAUGAACUCUAUUAAAUUAAUCUUCCAGGUUCCGCCUAAUUCUUUUGACGCCUAAAAUAUGGUUUCUUCUAUUUAGUUUCAAGGGAGAUCUCAAAGUAUAAAUAAGUUUGACUGAAGUGCAUAUAAUUUAUUUAAUUAAAUGUUUUUUUUUUUUUUUUGUAACCUAGGGAACCCCAUAAGCUGAUAGCCAGCAAGCAAAUCCUAAGGGAGUGACUAUAGGAUCCACCACUAUAAUACUCCAGCUAAGAAUCCCUAACGACGCAUCUGGGAUUCAAACUUCUUCCCUUCGUAAGGGAGAGAGAGUCCGAGCCAGAUGCGCCGCUGAGGGUGGUGGUUUAUUUAAUUAAAUGUUUUUUUUGGUAAAAAAAUUUUUAGUAAAAUUAAUUUAUUUAAUUAAAUGUUAAUAUCACAAAAAAUUUCAAACUUAUACACUUAUGAUAAAUUUAUCUCAAACUAAUUUUUUGGCCAUCAAAAACCCAAUAUUGGUACAUUUGUGAUAAAUUUACGCAAAAAUGAUUUUUAGACUAUCAAAAACCCUCAAACUAGUACAUUUAUGACAAAUAUACCCUUUGUUAAAUCGAAUUAAUAUCUAUAUAAUUCCAUAUUGAUACAUCAGUCAACUGCCACGCGUCAUUCAUUUAAGUAAUUUGACAAUAAAACAUAAACUAACAUAAAGUAAAUAUAUCACAAAUGUACCAGUUUUGAAUAAAUUUAUUAAAGGUCUAUUGGUUCAGAGUUUUUGGUGGUAAAAAAAUUAGUUUAAAGUAAAUUGAUCAUAUAUGUACCGGUUUUGGGUUUUUCGUGGUUUUAACCUUUUAGUUUAAAUUUUUUUUUAAAACCUCUUCAACUAAAAGACACCACAUACAUUCUCAAAUGAUAAAUUCUCAAUCUCUAAGACCUCAAAAUAAAUAAAUAAAUAAAACCUGUGUGAGAGGUUUAAGACUUCAGUAGUGAUUGUCAUUUUAGAGUAAUUAGGGAUGAAAUUAUCUAAAAUUAAGAGUAAGAAUUCACUUGUGAAAAUCAUUAAAUUCAUUAUCUAAACUUUGAUGUCAAAAUCAAAGUUUAUUAAAAGCUUGGUCUAAAUUCAGGAGCAAGGCUAUCACUCUUCAUCUUUGCCUAUUAAUUUAAUAUUUAAUUUUUGGCUCCUUUAUGCUGACUCUUAAUCACUUCGGGCUACCUAGGAUCACAUAUCUAUGAAGAACAGGCUUAAUCUAAUUCAAAUUGAAUAAAAAAUUUACGAAAAUAUAUUAAAAAAAAAUUGUAAGGAAUCGAUUCCUUAGAGGUCCAAACAAAUUGAUGUAAGGACUUCAGGAAAGGGAAAAAUAAGCGCUUGCUUAAGAAGGGACGAGAACCGGUUUUAAGGCCGGCUCUUCUUUUCGGGGAUUGAAGAAUCCAAAUCGAACCGGUCCGUUGACGGCUUUUUAUUAUUGCCUGUGCCUGCGCGCCUUAUUCAGUUCACCAGUCAACGGUCAGUCGCCGCUCUCCUUCCUUCACCAAUCUCCAACUGUUGAGUCGCUCAGCCGCCAGAGCUCCACUGAGUUCAGCCUCUUGCCUGGCCUGAGUAAAGUUAACCUCAUCGCUUCCGCAGCAAAGCUCUCUCUCUCGAGUCCGUUGCCAUUGAUCAUCAUCCUCGCGUCCCUAUUCAGGUAGCUCUCUCUCUCGAGUCCGUUGCCAUUGAUCAUCAUCCUCGUGUCCCUAUUCAGGUAGCUCUCUCUCUCUCUCUCUCCCUCCCCGUUCACACCGUAACCAGUCUCGCAGAGUUUUUCUUUUUGGAACUUGAUGUUUGCCUGUAACAGGCAUCUAUGGUGGAAGAAGAAUCAAUGGAAGUUGCAUUAGAAAUUAAUCAAGUUGGAAUGGUUGUACUUGAAAGACGGCGGAGAAACAGAGGAUGUAGCCUUCGUGCCCAACUUACGUUGUCUAAACGUUCAUGGAGUAACUCACACGUGUGCCUGGUCGUCCACACUUCAACCCCUGUCCAUUCGGAGCCAGAAACUCUCCAGCCACAUUGGCGCUUCCCCUUUGGAGGUCCUAAACUCCUUUUCUCUUGUUGCUUCACUAUCAUUUAUAUCUAUUUCAUUUAACUAAUUCGCAGUGCCGGUUUGUAGUUUGUAGUUCAGAGGCAUGCUUGAUUCUUAUAUGUUGCUAAGUCCCUCGGACGAUCUACACCUUGCCUGAAAAUGAAAUUUGAUUUCUCCUUUCUGCUCUUGGGGAUUAGAGAUUUUUCUUUGAUGAUUACAACGUGUUUGGCUUGCCUGAAAAGCCUAAAGUCACGAUCUCUUUCUGUUCCGGUUUGGUUUGAAUGUAAUGGGAAGGGAGGUUAGAACAUCACUUCAUGCUUGAAUAGACUGAAGGAGAAAAAUGUGGCAACACCAUUGCAACAAGGUUAAACGUUUAAGUGUAUGGUUAGCAUCCUAAAUGAGCUGUUCAAAAUGGAUUGGAUUCUUAGUCUAUCUUCUUUGGGAAAAUAUGGGAGGUACUGCUCGAAGAACUAAUAGCUAAAUAUGAACAAGGAGCUUUUAGAACAUACAAGGAUUGUUUUCUCUGUUUAGUGGCUGUUCCUUCGAAAGGGAUGGAAAAUCUAAUGAGUAAUCCUGUACUGAUAUAGCAUGACUAGAGCAAUAUGCUGCUCAGAAUGGUUGCUUUGCUAGAUUGCGCGACAUCUGAAUGCUCAUGGAGGGCUUCACACACGUGCCUGGUUGUCCACACUUCAACCCCUGUCCAAUUGGAGCAAGAAACUCUCUGCUCAUAUCCGCGCUUCUCCUUUGGAGGUCCUAAACUUCUUCUCUCUUGUUGCUUGACUAUCCUUUUUAUGCAUUUCACUUAACUAAUUCACAAUGCCUGUAUGUAGUCUGUAAUUCAAAGGAAUGCUUGAUUCUUGUAUGUUGCUAAGUCCCUUGGACCAAUGCAUGGCUUGCCUGAGAAUGAAUUUUGAUGUCUCCUUUCUCCUGUUGGGGAUUAGAGAUUUUUCUUUGAUGACUACAACUUGUUUGGCUUACUUGAAAAGCCUAAAAUCAUGGUCCUUUUUCUUUUCCGGUUUGAAUCGAAGGUAAUAGGCAGGGAGGUCUGAACAUCACUUUAUGCUUGAAUUUUGAAGCAUAUGGUUUGUAUCCUAAAUGAGCUGUGGAAAUGGAUUGGAUUUUCAAUCUGUCUUCUAUGGGAAAACAGCGAAAGGACUGCUCGAAGAACUUCUUAUUGAUAAUACUAAACAGGGAGGAGUUCUUUAAAAAUACACAAGGAUUGGUUUUUGUUCUUGGUGGCUUUCCUUUUGAAAGGGUUGGAUAAUCUAGUGAUUAGUUUUAUACUGAUGUAGCAUGACUAGAGCAAUAUGCUGUGCAGGAUGGUCGCUUUCCUAGAUUACACAGUUUUGUUCAAUUACCUGAGAAUCUAAGACAUCUUAUUGAAGUCCUUAAAUCUUGCCUUUAGUGUGACGAAAGAUUAUUGAUGGGCUUCACUAGCAUUUUCUACACUUGCUGUACUGAGUACUGAUGCUUAUGGAGUGGCAAUGCUUGAAACAGACACCUUGUCUGCAAAAGCUGUACUUGCGGUAACAGUACAAUAAAAAACACUGGUGAAUCUCCUCUUCAUUGUCUCCCCGUUUCAGCUGUCUACACUUUUGAAUUUCACCAACAUCCAUAUUUGUGAUGGAACUUCAUAAGAACUCAAUCUUCAAAAUUUUGCCACUUUUCACCAAAAAAGGAAUGUUCAGUUCAUGCUGUCAUCAAUUUGGUUGGCACAAUAACAAAGCUAUUUUAGAUCUUGAUACUUUUUUGCCGAGUAAGCAGUUUGAUGGGUGUAUGCAUUGGUUCGUGUCCCUGCUCGUAACAAUUUUUCAGAAGUAAGACCACUUCUAAGAGUUAUUGAACUUAUAGUGCCCCACCCCCACUCCUAAAAGUUACUGAAGCUAUGGUAGCAUCUCUGAGAAGUUCUCAUGGAAUCAUUUACACGGUUGUGCAGGCCAUUGACCAGACGACUCAGAUGGUUCUAUUCAAGUUGCUCAACUGUCAUGUAUUUAAUGAUAUAAAUGGUUGCAUUUCCAUUGGCAAAGAAGUAUGUUAUCAUAUACAUAGAGCAGUACUGGCUACUUUCUUUUCUCUACCAAUUGAUUGUAGGUGGAACUUCAUCACGUCAUUGUUAUAAUUUUGCGAUUUUACUUGUGAUUUGUUCAUAAUUUUACUACUACUGCAUAGUCUCUUGACCCUGUUAUCACUUGACUUUAUAGGCAAGCGUCUCUCAUGCAACAAAAUCUGACGGGCAAGAAUUGGCAAUCAAGGCCUACAAGACUUCGGCGCUGGUGUUCAAGUAAGUGUGAUGUUUUUUAGUUUUUUGCAAGGCCCCUGCGUGGGCGUUUGAAGCUGCAAUACUGCAUUUGCUACAAGUUUGUGACUUUACUCUUUCUAGAAUUAACGAUUGAUAUACAGGUUCUGUUUGUUGUGAUGGCAGUCACUGCCAGAUUGUGGAGAAUGUUGGCUUGUUUCAUCUGAUACCUUUUUUUCUCUUUUAUUAGGAGCUACUGUUAGUUCUUUUUCUUUAGUAUUUGGCCGAAAGAAGCUAUACUUAAUUUGCAAUGCGAUUUUUCUUCAAUUCUACACUGUCAAUUUUGUAGUGGUAUUUCGUGGAUUUAGUUUAUGGUAGGUUUCAUUUUCUUUUCCCUCUAUUUGUUAUUGUAUGAUUUUUUAUUCCAUCGAGGGAUGAGGCCGUCGAAACAGCCUCAUCAAUAUAAAAGAGUUACAUAGGAGACCUCAGGCCAACGAUAUCUGCCCGUUCGAUUUCUGUUCUUUAUUACCUCUCCCCCACCGCGCCCCCCCCCCCCCCCCCCUCCCCAACGUGAUGGGCUCUCUUGAUACUUCAGCAAUGAGAACCUUUAAUUCUUCUGGAGCAAAGCCUAAGUCAUAGAGUGUUAUUGAAGUUAAGUUGUUCUUCUGCUACCAAAUGGUCUUAAUAUUAGAUGACUCUGAAGUUGAUGUCAUGAAAAACUACGGAUGGUGAUCUGACUUCUAAGCCUUGGAGCAAGCUAUAUGCCUACCUAUAUUUGGAUGCCAAACCGUAUUGUAGCUUACUCCGACAAACAUAAACCGUCAGAAGAGAACUGUGAUGAUUGACUUGCACUGAACUCUGCAUCUUACCUUUUGGAAGUUCUCAAGUGAUCACUUAUCCGGAUUUGUUCCCUUGACUCAACUCAUGUCGUGUGACUCACUAUUGUCUUGAUUGAUUAGCACCACGCAUUUAGUCCUUUUGAUACUCCAUCCGAACUGGGUUCCACCAUGAACUAUAACUCUUAGCUUCUAAGGUCUACAUAGAUACAAGUAGGUGUCAGUUCCUAUAUUCACACGAACUCCAUACAUAUGGAAUUAUUAUACUCAUCUGAACCUGGACCAGCAUUACCAUCGAGAAUAGUCCACAGUGAGACUAAUACUGUAAGGAUAAAACAUCAAUAAACAGUACUUAUUAACAAAUUUUCUGUUUAGCCAAUUCAUAUGCCUUUAACCUUUGUUUUGGCAUUCCAAAAAUAGUCGAUUUAACAAGCACUUGCUUCUGUCUGUGUUACUCCAUGAAUUUUAAGUAGUAAACGAUUAUCAGUAUAGCAUCUUGCAAAGCUUUUGAUGCAGGAUCUAACUGUACUUAGUGUAUGAAUUUCCAACAGGCUAUGUAGUGAGCUUUGGACUGUGAUGUUUUCUUGUCAUGCAAAAUAUUAUAUAGCCCUGGGACCAAAUUUGCAAAGGCACCCUAGGAAUUACUAGAUCUGAGUGGAAGCCACUUGUGCCCACCAGAUGUUCGUAGUGCAUCUGCUUGUUGUUGCAUCCCUCUUAGGAAACUUUUUCUUAUGAAAACCCAAUGCAUGGAUUUAUGAUGCCGAGAAAAUGCUUCACGCAUUUGUGUUUGUUUUACGGAGAGAUGUUAUAAUGCGGUCUACAGGGAGUAGCUAUCUAAAUUUGCGUUCUUCUAUGGAUGAGGUGACAUUUACAUUUGCUGUCAUUUACUAUUGUAAUUGUUAAUAACUUUUUGUUUAUGCUUUCUCUUUCAGUGAUAUAUACUGAAGACGCUAGAUUUGGUGAAAAAUGUGGGAGAGGAUGUGAUUCGGAUAAUAACUAGGAAGGACAUUGAAGACAUGUCUACAAGACUCUCAUGGGGUUAUCUCAGGCUCUCACGAAGGGGGACGCUAAUGCUAUAGAAAAGGCAACUGAUCCUGGCGAUAAUACUAAAGCUUGCGGUAGAGAGUCCAACUCAGAUCCAGAUGUAGAUGAAGAUUCGGAAGGAAUUGAGUCAGCUUCCAAAACUGAGGUGCUGGCUCCUGUUGACAAGAAGGCUUCUAGGAAGGAGAACAAAAAGAAGGUCAAAGAGGAAAAAAGAGAAGCGAGGAAAGACAGUCUCCAAGGCCGCGAAGAAAGAAGGAAGAAGUUGGCGAAAGCCCAUGGGACUGGUAGUUCGUUUAUGGUAGCGGUGUUGAUAUACAUAUCCGGCAUUUCUCAAUAGAGUGAGUCACGUGUCGUAUAAGUUUAAUUUACUGGAUCUAUAGAUGGCUUCGCACUUUUCAGUGGUAGCCCAGUUUUAGCUUAGAGUAAAGCGAGAGGGAUAAGGUAAGUUAUGUUGGUCUUGGAUUGUGUCAGGGUAUCAUUAUUAGAUGGUGUUGGUAUAUCAUUCCAAGGUAAAUUGUAUAGCAGCUUCUUCUCUUUUCCUAUAUUUUUGCUAGUUAUUAUAAGGAGGCCUUGGUAGGAGUUGCUUAUGACCUAAUCAAAUCCUGGCUCCGAUCUGCUAUCGAUAGUUAGAUACCUUAUGUGAUUUUAGUUUGAUUUUUUUCACAUACUUUCUGGGGUGAGAAAAUGAGUAGUUUUGACCUGUUGGAUUAAGAAUGCUCGGCUAGCUUGGUUUGGAAUUGCUAUCAUGAGAUUUAAGGCCUAUUGCUUUACUGAGGUGAGGGUCAAAGACUGGCAACACAAUCACUAGGCAGAUUGUGAAAUUUGCCAAACCGGGAGUUGAUGAAGCACUGUUUUGGUAGUCCAAUAUCAAUCGCAUUUGUUUGUUUUUUGUGUUUCCCAACCUCCACAACUAUUUAGGUAGUGUCAUUGGCUGUGACUUUUGAUAGACCUUUUAACAGUCGGAGCAUUUCGAGCCUUCAAGGGACGAUGGGUGACUUUUUGACUCAGAAAUAAUGAUGGACCUACAAGAACAGAUUAUGAAAAUCACUAUAUUUAUUACAAACAACAUGCCACAAAAUUGGUACCCAAAUACAACACAUUGUAGAAAUUUCAAAUAUCGGUUGGCACAUCUUCAAAUAGCUUAAGUAUCUCUUGAAAACGGUCUUAAGUAUCUCUUGAAAACGGUCAGAAUCUCACAUGAGAAGACAUGCCAAAGCAAGCACUACUAAGAAUAUAUUGAUGGCCAACCACAUGGGUAGAGACAGUCUCAUCCAAAGAAGCAACUCAGAAGCAAUAGUCCCGAAAAUGAUAUACGAGCACCGGUAUAUCACGUUUCGGCUCGAGGGUCUAGUCACUUGGAUAAAUGCAACAAGAUAGAUGAUUUCACAAAUGAUGUAAAAUUGUAGAGGGGCUCAAUGCUUCGAUAUGCUAUGAAUUGAAAUGUCCGAUGACAAGCAGUUUGAACGAGGUAAAGGUUUUAUGGAAUCUCUUGGUUGAGCCGAAACUUUCUUGUUGCCGAUAUUGUUGUGGUUGUCUGUUCUCCUUCUACCGGAUUAGGAAGAAAUCAAUUCGAAGAAAAACAUACUAAAAAAUAAAAGGAAAAAAAACAACUUGCUACGAAUCCAUCCUCUAAGGAAAGCCUUUAGAACAUAUUCAAACGAAUGUAUAAGGUAGUACCUUUCCGAUAUCACUGGGUGAUCGGCCAUGCUUUGGAGAUGGUGGAUCCGAAUUUCGGUUUCGGUCCAUGGGCGAAUUCCCCAAAAUCCUCGUUCGCACAUGGCAGGAUCAACGAAAUUUCGCUACCAUUUGAUCGUUUUAGAGAUCUAUUUGGCUGUGGAAAUAGGCUGAGGCUGCACGAUCCAUAAGUGCUGCAUAACAUCUAGUGAAGUGUAGGUGUACAUGUUGCAUGAGCCAACAUCAUAAGACAAUUUAUUAAACCAUGAGUUAAUAGAGUGCCAUCACGCACAAGGGCGUCGGGGGAUGAGAAAGGACCGGUUGCCACGGGCGGCAGCAUAAAAAAUAAAAGCAGCAUCGUCACCGGCACUUCGGUUCCAGCAAAUGAAAUGAAAAAUGCAGCUCCAUUUCCUUUGCGUAUACAUGGCUACCGUGUAGAAGAAUCACUGCGAAUUCAGAAUUAAAGGAACAUUGUGGUCGUCGAAAUGGUCUUGACAUUUGAAUUGCGGACACAGCGCUUGCAAGUUGGUUUUCUUUCUUUCUUCUUGUCGCGGAGAGAGGCUAUUUCUCUUUCCGAUUCUAUGAGGACGUAAACAGUAUGCGACUAUUCCUUAGCCGUGUGAGUAUACAAAAGUUCAGCCCGAUGGAUAAAAGCAACGCAUGUUUUCUUCGACGACAGUGAGUGCUUCUGCUUGAGUUGUUCUUGGAAAGGACUGGAUUGGAACCAUGGAGUAAGAAUACGAAGCCUUGUCGGAUGCUUGCAGUUAUCUGUUUCAAUUCCCUCGCUUGGGAUUGUUGUGACUAUAUAGGGCGUGUCUAUAUGGGCUCCUACAUUUUACUUAAUGCAAUUAUCGCAAUUGAUGCACAUUGACUUUUUUCUUUAGCCAAUAACAUCAAAAACUUUCACAAUAUAUAAACUUUGACGCAUAAACUAAUACAUAGCUCUUGUGAUUUUCUGAAAUUUGGAUAAUGUUAUAAAUUCAGGUAGGGAACUUUUUGCGUUGUGUCGAAGUACACACAAACAUGACCUUAAUACGACGGAGAGGUUAGCUUGAUUAUACUUGUCCUUUCUUUGAGAAAUGGUUGGCAUCCCAUUAUGAAAUUUUGAACUUUGUUGUAAUGGUGGAUUAGAUUGGUAAGCUAUGCAAGAAAGUUGUUUCGAGAUCUAGAAUGAUCUUGGCACUAUCGUCCAUGGUAAAUGCGAGGCUCACUCAUGUAGACAAAAGCUAAAUGACCAGCAUGGUGUUUAUGAUGCGGACGAAAGGAUCAAAUCAGUCGUUUGUGACCAUAAUAAGUUUAGAAAUGAUCAAGAUCUGGAUUUGAGUACCAUUAGAGUUUCAAUAAGUUUCAUCUUUCUGUUUGGUGUCCAAUGUGAUGUUCCGUAUUCUCAUUAGAGUUAUUAGUCUUUCGAUUACUCUUCUCCGUGCUUUUCGGUUGUGGACUCAGAUCAACUUGGCGUGUGUUACCAACCAUAAUUUUUUAGUAUGAGGGGGUGGGGUGAUGAUGUGAUGAAAAGCAUGUUUCCAACUUGCAAAACUGUCCUAAGACGACCAUAACAACAGCACUAAUCGGAUGAAAUUUGGAAAUCAGUAGAGCAAAGCACUUGGAAUAGCCUGGACUAGUAGCACCUUAGCCAUGCAAUAUUGCAAUCUAUGUUUUGAGGGGAGAGAGAGAAAAAAAAAAUAGAAUGGAGUUAAUAAAAAUCUUUUAGGCGUGGUUUUGAUGAAAUCAAACAAAAAAUAUUGAAAAUUUUCCAUCGUGUGAAUAGAAAAGACAUGUGAAAGGUCAAAAUUAAGGGAAGACUUGUGGACAAAAGGGUAAUGCGUGGAUGGCAAUUAAAGUAAUAAAUGAUUAUGUUAGCAUUAUUUUGUGAGUAUUUAUAAUAUUUUCAUUAAUUCACCUGGGCAAUAUCUCUAUUAUGUACUAGGUGAACGAGCAUGCAUCGCAUGGAUUUAAAAAUUUGACUUGUUUUAUUUUUAGGUUUGACGAAAUUUUUUGGUCAUGCAACACAAUAUCUACAAAAGUGACAUUUAACAUUUAUAUGAAAACUUCAAUUUUAGUUACUCAUAUUUGACUCGAUUUGGACCUCACUCAUUCCCAACCCAACCCAACUCAACUUGGACUUUAAUUGCAAAUUUUCUUCUUUAUACAUGGAAAAUGGCAUAACCAAUUAACACAAAAUAAACAUGAAAAGAAUUAGCAAAUAAGAAAUUACAAAAAAAGGUGACAAAUCAAUCUUUUAAAAUCACACUUCCUAUUAUUUCACCCGAUGCUAAAAUUUUGAAUGACCCUAAUAGAAGAGUUGGAGCCUAGAAAGAUACAUGUGAUGUAAACUUCUACUCUAUAAGUACUAAAAGAACUGAAAAUGCUUGAUGAUUUGAAAUUGUUCAUAUCUAUCAAGAUUUGUAGCAGUAAGACCGUUGUCCAACACCAUACACCUUGGUAAAUGAAGGAACUUGAAUGAUUUUUGGGUUUAACGGAGGUUAUUGGUAAAAUACUUGGACCGUCUAAGUCAAACUUCCAGAUGUGCCCCCAAGUUACAGCAACCAAAGAAAUGACGUGGCCCGUGAAUUCUUUCUUCUUCUUCAGCGCUUUUUUUGAAAAAAAAAAAUUAAAGUUUAACAGUUAUUUAUUAAAUAUUUGGUUUAGGGAUGAUUUAAGCUGUAAUUAAUCUUUCAAGGUGGUCUAUUUAUGCUAGAUGACCAUGGGUUGCCAGAAAUCUUUCGUAUGAUUUUUUUUUUGUUCCGCAUUUACACAAGGAAAUAUCAAAAUUUAAAACCGUCCAUGUAAUUUGUGACAAGUGAUCCAAAAAAAAAUUAUGAAUUUACCAAAAUAAAUUAUUAAAAUCACUCCCUACCUGGCUUUUUAGAUGUUCCUCGAAAAGACAAAAUGAAAAAAAGAAACGUGUGACUAGUAGAGAAGUGACGUUUCUAUAUAUUAACUUAAAUAUAAUCCGAGUCAAUUCCAUUUAAAUCAAGUUUUAGUUGGUCUUUGAUUUUUACAGCUCAUUUUAAUCAAUUCAUAAAAUUAAAGUGACUAAUUUAAAUUCAACCCGACGCAUGUGAAUUGAAACAUGGGUAAGUGGACCCAUUUUGUUACCUUUAGACGAAAAAAAGAACAAUUAGGCCAAGGAAAAGAUGAAAUGAUAUUAAAGUGACCGUGUACAUGACAGGGCAAUAAAGUAAGCUUCAGCAUAUUCAGAAGCGGCAUAUGUUAACCUUCUUUUUUCCCAAUAUCAGUGGUACUUACUACAAAUAGCAUACAACAAAAUUCAGAACAAAUAUAAAAUAAUCUAACUAAACUUGGGAAGAUAGCACAUCCUCGAAUAGCUGAAUAAUGUCUUGAAGGUAGUCGAAACCUUGCCUAAGCAGACUGAACGACGCCAAAACAAACACUAGCAAGCACAUAUUGAUGACUACCCAUAAAAUAAGAGACAGGCUCGUCCAAAGAAGCAAUUCGGAGCUGAGAGUUCCAAAAAUGAUAUACAAGCACCUGUAUAUCAAGUUUGGGCAAGCGGACCCAGUCACUUUUAUCAGCGCUAUGAGAUAAAUGACUUCACAAAUAAUAUAAAACUGUAGAAUUACGAAGCUCAACGUCUCGAUAUGCUGCAAAUUGAAGUGUCCGAUGACAAGUAACUUGAAUGAGGUAAACAUAACGUGGAAUCUCUUAGUUGAGUCAAAACUUUCUUGUUGUUCCUCAUGCUGUGGUUGUUCAUUGUUCCUAUAUUAAACGAGGAAGAAAAGAUAGAUUGGGAGGAGAAAAGAAACAGACUGUUUUAUCGCAUUCUUAAUAGAGAUAUGAAGAGCAUAUUGACACUAAUGAACUACAUACCUUUCUGGAGUCGCUGUUUGAUUCGGCAUGGCUGUGGAGAAGGAAAGCUGAGUGCAGGAGACCAAGGAGGAUUCGAAGAGCAGGAUGAGACUUUGCCGGUGCCCAGCCUCUCGCUCGAACGAUUUCUGAUCUCUCGCUUGCCGGUGCCCAGCCUCUGCGUGUUGAAGUAAAUGGGCGUGGUCGCGCAUUUUAUAGACAGAGUCCCCCGCGUGAGCUAAAAGCCAGAGAGAGAGAGGGGCAACAAUUUUUUGACUUUUGCAGAUCAUCCACGGUUGAGAUGAUGGGGGAGGGUGUGUCGCCAUCUAUCGCAACCGUGGAUCGUCCUCUAUCUCAACCGUCGAUGGCAUCCCCGGUUGAGAUAGAGGACCGUCGAGGACGCUCGGCAUCCACGGUUGCGAUAGAGCGUCCUCUAUCUCAACCGUCGAUGGCAUCCACGGUUGAGAUAGAGGACCGUCGAGGACGCUCUAUCGCAACCGUGGAUGCCAUCCACGGUUGAGAUGAUGGGGGAGUGUGUGGGUCCAAUGCCCCGCCAUCAUCUCAACCGUUGGUCAGCCGAGAAGCUGGCACAACCGUGGAUCUGAUCAACCGUUGAUCGCGCCCCACAUCAUGCCGCCCGUCAUCAUCACAACCGUGGAUCAGAUCUACGGUUGUGAUUAUUGGGUCCAAAAUGGCCCGUCCUCAUUUGAAAAAUGUCGCCCAUCGUCUCAGCCGCUUUCCCGGGCUGAGUUCAGUUGAGCUCGUCGCUUCCGAAGCAAAGCUCCGUCCCUCCAGUCCGUCGCCCUUGAUCGUCCUCCUUCGCGUUCCUUUUCAGUUAGCUCUCUCUUUCUCUCUCUCUCUCUCCGUACGUUCACAUCGUAACCAGCCUCACAGAGGUUUCUUUUUUUUUUUUGGAAGUUGUUGUUUGGCUAUCACAGGUAUAUUGAAGAGAGUCAGUGGAAGUAGCAUUAGGAACAAUGAAUGAAGUAAUUAAAGAAGGGGAAGAAGGAGAAGAAGGAAAAGUAGCGGAACUAGGAGAAGAAGAAGAAGAAGAGGAGGAGGAGGAGGAGGAGGAGGAGGAGGAGGAGGAGGCGUGGUCAUCGGAUUCAGAAAUAUGGAACGUGUAGAAAUGGUUGGAAUUGAAGGACGGCGGAGAAGCAGUGGACAGAGCCUCCCUUCCCAAUUCGCGACGUCCGAAUGCUUGCGGAGGGCUUCACACGCGUGCCCGGUGGUCCACUCUUCAACUCAUGUCCGGGCUUCCCCUUUGGAGGUCCCAAGACUCUUUUCUCUUGUUGCUUGUCUAUCCUUUUUAUCUAUUUCAUUUAACUAAUUCGCAAUGCCUGUAUGUGGUUUGUAGUUCAGAGGCAUGCUUGAUUCUUACAUGUUACUAAAUCCCUUAGACCAAUCUAUAUAGCUUGCCUGAGAAUGAAUUUAAAUGGUUCCUUUUUUGCUGUUGGGGACUAGAGAUUGUCUUCGAUGAUGACAACACACUUGUCUUGCCUGAAAUGCCUAGAGUUGCGUUCUCUUUCUUUUCCGGCUUGAAAUGCAUACGAUGAGCAGGGAGGUUAUAACAUCACAUUAUGCUUGAAUUAAUUGGAGGAGAAAAAUUGCGGCGACACUGUUACAACGAGAUUAAACUUUGAAGCAUAGGGUAGCAUCCUAAAUAUGCUUAUAUAUAAAAAUGAACAAGGAGGAGUUUUUAGAAAUAUACAAGGAUCGGUUUCUCUUUAUAUUGGCUGUUCUUUGGAAAGGGCUGGAUAAUCUAGUGAUUACUUUUGUACUGAUGUAGUGUGACUAGAGCAAUAUGCUGCUCAGAACGGUUGCUUUCCUAGAUCGCAUGGUGUCGAUGAAUUGCCCAAGAAGCUAAGACUUCUUAUUGAAGUUCUUAUAUCCUGCAUUCAUCAUGAGAACGAUUAUCUAUAGGUUUCACUAGCAUUUUCUAGAAUCUAUGUAUUGAGUGCUGAUGCUUAUCGAGUGACAGUGCCUGAAACAUAUACCUUGUCUGCACCCAGUCUACUUGUGGUAACAACCAGAUAAACAACACUACUGAAUCUCCCUUUGACCAUCUCCCGUUUCGGCCAUCUACACUUUUGAGUUUCACCAACCUCCAUAAUUGUGAUAGAACUUCAUAAGAACUUUAAAUUGUCAAACUUUUCCACUUCGCCAAAAAAAAAACAAAAAAGAAUUUGAAAUUCAUUCUGUCGUCAAUUUGGUUGGCACAUGAAGAUAACUUUAGAUUUCGAUAGUUUCUUUUUUGGGUCAGAACUUUUGACUUGAAUAAGCAUUUUUUAAUAUAUGGUGUACUGUUACUUUAUCUACCACUUCCUUCUGCAUCUAAACAUGUUUUUGUGGACAUUGAUUUGCUCUGUAGCUUCUUAAUGUGUUGCUGUGUAUUUGACUUGCUGAAAGAAUGAAUUGUAUGAACAAAAACUGCAGGAGUGGGAGGGAAGGGUGAAUGUUGGCAUGUCCAGCACACUGAGAGCUUCAAUUCGAGAAAGUGUACAGGACAUGACUAUAGUCAGAAUUAAAAGUACGACCAUGCAACUGUUGAGCAGGUAAAGUACAUUUUUGUCAAAAGAUUAAUAAGUUGUGUGCUAGGUAUUUUGGUAAAAAGUUUCCAUUAACAUUCUCCACGCUACAGUUGUAACAGCAUCCACAAUGAGGUCUCCUUAUACUAACUGUUAACUGCUGCUUGGAUGAUCUCAAGACAAUAUGUCCCCUGUAAAUAUGUGUCCGUUUUUAAUGAUCUAUUAGAAUUUUUGCUAAUAUCUUCAUUGGCCUCUCCCCUCUUGCUUUGCACCUCUAUCCCAGGGUCAAAUCUUCUAAACUCGGCAUGAAGAAUGAUUAGAGUUAAUUUUCAGAAUUUACUGUGCUUCAUGGAUUUAGAUAAAUGAACUAUAAUUAUUUUUAGUUAACCAUCAACCAUCAAAAGUUUUGAAGCUGAAAUGAACCCUCUUGCAAGCUUACUCUGUCUCUUUGCUAAAUCAUUAUCAUUUUGACUUAAUAAUAGUUGAGUAAACUCUUUGAUGGGUGUAUGCAUUGGUUCAUGCCCCCUCUCGCAAUAAUUGUACAGAAGUAAGACCACUUCUAAAAGUUAUCGCGGUUACAGUGCCCUGGUCCUGCUCCUAUUUUAACUGAAGCUAUCAAAACAUCUCUGACAUGUUCUUGUGGAAUUGGUUAUGUGGUUGUGCAGGCCAUUGAUCAGAGUAUUGGGAUGGUUCUCUUCAAGAUGCUUGACUGUCAAGUAUUUAAUGAUAUAAAUGGUCGCAUUUCCACUGGUUAAGAAGUAUGCUGUCAUCUACAGUAAGCAGUACUCGCUACUUCCUUUUUCUACCAAUUGAUUGUUGUGAAAGUUCUCUACAUCAUCGCAAUUUUACUUAUGAUUUGUUCGUAUUUUUGCUACAACUGCAUAGUCUGUUGACCCUUUGGUCGCUCUGACUUUUCUAGGCAAAUGUCUAUCUGCAACAAAAUCUUGUGGGCAAGAAUUGGCAAUUAAAGUCUUCAAGACUUCAGUGCUGGUGUUUAAGUAAGUGUGAUAGCUUUUAGUUGUUUGUAAGGCGCUUUCAUGGGUGUUCAAAAGUGCAAAACUGCAUUUCCCUACAAGUUUGUGAUAUUUAUUCUUUCUCGAAUUGACAAUUGAUAUACAGGUUCCGUUUGUUGUGAUGGCAGUCUCUGCUAGAUUGUGGAGAAUGUUGGCUUGUAUUGUUUGAUAGUUACUUCUUUUUUUGCUUACGGUAGGAGCUACUGUCAGUUUUUUUUCUUUAUUAUUUGGCCGAAGGGAGCUAUUUGUUUUCAAUGUGAUUUUACUUCAGUACAAGAAUAUUGAUUCUGUAGUGGUGUCUCGUGCAUAAAGUUUCAUGGUAGGUUUUCCCUUUCUAUUUCUUCUAUUUGUUAUUGUAUCAUUUUCUUCCAUUGUGGGAUGAGGCCAUGGACACUGCUUCCUUUAUGUAAAAGAGUUACAAAUCUGAGAUCUCAGGCAUGCUCUGUGCCAAGAAAAAGAUUCGCGACUAUAUCUGCCUGUCCUCUCUUCUUUCUUUCGUCUCGCUCUCCUCCAGUGUUAUGGGCCCUCAAUGCUUUUAAACACAGAAGUGAGAACCUUCAAUUCUUCUUGAUCAAAGCCUAUUUCAUCGAGUUAAUGAAGUUGAGUUGUUCUUCUGUUACCAAACGAUCUUAAUAUUAGAUGACUCCGAAGUUGAUAUCAUGAAAAUCUACAGAUGGUGGUCUGACUUCUAAGCCUUGGAGCUUUCCAGCCAUUUAUCUACCUAUAUUUGGAUGCCAAACCAUCUUGUAAUUUACACCCACAAACAUAAACCAUCUGAAGGGGGCUGUGAUGAUUGACUUGCACUCAACUCUGCAUCUCACCUGCUGGAAGUUCUCAAGUGAGGACUUAUCCAGAUUUGUUCCCUUGACUCAACUCAUGUCAUGCAACUCACUAUUGUCUUGACUGAUUAGCACCACGCAUUUAAUCCUUUUGAUACUCCAUCUGAACUGUUUUUCACCAUGCGCUGUAACUCUUAGCUUUCUUAGGUCUAUAUAGAUAGCAGUAGGUGUCUGAUGCUCUAUUCACUCAAACUUCAUACAUAUGGAACUAUCAUACUCAUCUGAACCUGGACCAGCAUUAACAUCGAGAAUAGUCCAUGGUGAGACUAAUAACUGUAAGGACAAAACAUCAAUAAACAGUACUUAUGAACAAAUUUUCUGUCUCCUUAGUCUUUUGGUUUGCCUUUAACCUUUGUUCUGGCAUUGAAAAAAUAGUCGGUCUAACAAGUCCUUUCUUCUGUCUAUGUUACUUCUUGAAUUUUAGGUAGUAAAUGAUUAUCAGUAUAGCAUCUUGCAAAGCUUUUGAUGCAGGAUCUAACUAUACUUAGUGUAUGAAUUUCCAACAGGCUAUGUACUGAGCUUUGAACUGUGAUGUUUUCUUGUCAUGCAAAAUAUUAUGUAACCCAGGGACCAAAUUUGCAAGGCACCUAGGAAUUACUAGAUCAAAGUGGAAGCCACUUGUGCCCACCGGAUGUUCAUAGUGCAUCUGCUUCUUGGUGCACCCAGUUUUUACUUCUCUUAGGAGACUUUUUCUUAUGGAAACCCAAUGCAUGUGCUUAUGAUGCCGAGAAAAUGCUUUACGCAUUGGCUUUUUGUUUUGCGUAGAGAUGUUAUAAUGCAGUCUACAGGGAGUAGCAAUCUAAAUUUGCAUUCUUCUUUGGAUGAGGUGACAUUUACGUUUGCUGGCAUUUAUACUGUUGCCUCAGUUAAUAACUGUUGAUUUAUGCUUUCUCUUUCAGUUAUAUAUACUGAAGACACUAGAUUUGGUGAAAAAUGUGGGAGAGGGUGUGAUUCGGGUAAUAACUAGGAAGGACACUGAAGAAAUGUCUACAAGACUAUUAUGGGGUUAUCUCAGGCUCUCACGAAGGGGGACACUAGUGCCAUAGAAAAGGCGACUGAUCCUGGCAAUAAUACUGUAGCUUGCAGUAGCGAUUCCGAGUCAGAUACAGAUGUAGAUGAAGAUUCAGAAGUAAAUGAGUCAGCUUCCAAAACCGAGGUGCAGGCUUCUGUUGACAAGAAGGCUUUUGGGAAGGAGAACAAAAAGGUCAAAGAGUAAAAAAGGGAAGCGAGGAAAAACAAAGUCUCCAAGGCUGCGAAGAAAGAAGGGAGAAGUUGGCCAAAGCCCAUAAGACUAGGAAGUCGGCCGUGGUAUUAAUAUACAUGUUUUUCGGCAUUACUCGAUAGAGAGAGUGAGUCACGUAUUGCAUAAGUUUAAUUUACCGGUUGUGGAGAAGGCUUUGCACUUUUCAGUAGUAGCCAACUUUUAGCUUAGAGUAAAGCCAGACGGAUAAGUUCAUGUUGGUCUUGUAUUUUGUCACGGUAUCAUUAUUAGAUGGUUUUGGUAUAUUGUUCCAAGAUGAAUUGUAUACCAGCUUCUUCUUUUCUGUUUUCUUCCCCUUCUUUUUGCCAGUUAUUAUAAGAAAUUGGUAGGAGUUGGCUAUGACCUAAUCGAAUCCCAGUUCCGACACCUUCUGUUGUGAUUCUAGUUUGAUAUUUCAACAUACUUUGGGUGCCGGGGUUGGUUUAUCGAAUUCUUGGCUGCCUUGUUUUGGGAUUGCUACCCUGAGAUUUUAAGGCCUAUUGCUUUACUGAGGUGAGGGUCAAAGACUGGCUAUGCGAUCAUGAGGCAGAUUGUCAAAUUUUCCAAACCCGGAGUUGAUUAAUCAUUGUUUCCGGUCUCUGAUAUCAAUGGCAUUUAUUCGUUUUCGGCGUCGCCAACCUCUUGACGACUAUACAGGCUGGGUCAUUGGCUAUGAGUUCUGAUAUAACCUUUUGACAGUUGGAGCCUUCGGGGACAAUGGGGUGACUUUUUGACUUAAAAAUAAUCAUGGUUCUACAAAAAUAGAUUAUUAAAAUCACAAAAUUUAUUAGAAACAGCAUACAGCAAAAUCGAUGUCCGAACCCAGCAUAUUGUUGAAAUCUCAAAUAUUGGUUGGCACGUUGUUGAUCAGCUGAAUAAUAUCUUGAAAAUGGUCAAAAUCUCGCGUGAGUAAAUAUGCCAAAACAAGUACCAGCAAGCACAUGUUGACGAUCAACCACAUAAUAGGAGAUAAGCUUGUCCAGAAAAGCAAUUGGGAAGCAAGAGUCCCAAAUAUGAUGGACAAGUACCUAAAUAUCAAAUUUGGGCUCGAAAGUCCGAUCAUUUUGAUUAAUGUUACAAUAUAGAUGAAUUUACAAAUGAUGUAAAACAGUAAAAUUGAGUGGCUUGAUAUCUUGGUAUUCUGCAGAUUGAAAUGUGCGACGAUGAAUAACUUGAGCGAGGUGAAUAUAAUGUGAAAUAUCUUGAUCGAGUCAAAAUUUUCUUGUUAUUGGUGUUGUUGUGGUUGCAUGUUCUCUCUGUACAGAAUUAGAAAGAAAUUACUUGGAAGAAGCAUCAAAUUCCAAGGGGGAAAAAACUAGCUACUAAUCUCGCUUUAAGUAGAGCUUCAUGAACAUAUUUAAACGGACGUAUAAGGUUAUGACCACAAAAAAAAAAACGAAUGUGUAAGGUACCUUUCAGGUCUUAUUGUGGAGACGUGGGAGCCGAAUGAAUUCUGGGAUUGUUUUCUACCUUUGUGAAUGAGAAGGGGUGGAGGCACUAGCAGUCGCUAUAUAUGUACAAUGUUUCCAGCCUACCUUCUUGACUUUUGCAAAAGUUCAUCCCUCAUGUCGUGCCACGUGGCAUAUCCUUUGAGCACGAAAUGAGGGACCAACUUUUGCAAAGGUCCAGAACCGGUAAAUUAUUUAGUGUAUUAAAUGCCAGGUUUCCAAUCUUUCUUUAUCUUGAAUAUUCUGCUCUGCAUUGGUUUACCGACGCAUUGAAUUGUCCGACAUUACGACAUCCUUUUUUGUCGGUGGGUCAAUGGAUGCAACAAUCUUUGGUCGUCGGCACUGGUCAAAUUCCUCAAAUUCCUUUUUUGCCCAAGGCAGGGAAAUAAAAUUUCGGUACUAUUUGAUCGUUUUAGAGAUCUAUCAGGCUCUGGAGAUAGGCCGAGGCUCCACGUUCCACAUGUUCCGUGUAACAUAUUAUAAGCGUACAAGUUGUAUGAGCCAAUAGCAUAAGACAAUUUGUUAGCCAUGAGUUAACAAAGUGCAUCAUGCAUAAGUGUGUCGUGGAAUAAGAAAGGACCUGUUGCCAUGAGCAACAGCAUUGCCAUCGGCACUUGGGUCCAGCAAAUGAACCGAGAAAUGCAGCUCCAUUUCCAUUGCGUAUGCGCAGCUACAGUGUAGAAGAAUUAGUGAGAAUUCGGAAUUAAAGGAACACUGUGAUCAUUGAAACGGUCUUGACAUUUUGAUUGCGGACACCACGUUUACGAGUUGAUUUUCUUUCUUUCUUCUUGUCACGGAGAGAAGCUAUUUCUCUUUCUAAUUCUAUGAGCUCAUAAACAAUAAUCAGCAUGCGACUAUUCCUUAGUUGUGUGAGCAUACAGAAAGUUCAGCCUGAUGGAUCAAAGCAAUGCACGUGUUCUUCGACGAUAGCGAGCGCUUUUGCUCAGAGCAUCCCAUGAGUUGUUCUUGAAGGGAUUGGAUUGGUACCAUGAGUGAGAAUAUGAAGCUUGCAAUUUAUCUACUUCAAUUCCCUCGCUUGGGAUUGUUGUGAAUGUACAGGGCAUGUCCAUAUAGGUUUUUAAUUUUUUGCUCAUUACAAUUGUCGCAAUAGAUGCAUAUUGACUUUUUUUCUUUAGCCCGUAACACCUAAAACUUUCACAUAUACAAACUUUGACAUGCAGAUUAAUAUACAACUCUUUCAUAGUUUUCUGAAAUUUGGAUAAAGUUUUAAUUCAGGCAGGAAACUUUCUGCUUUGUUUUGAAGUACACAAAAACAUGACCUUAAUAUAAUGCAAGGAUAGCUUGAUUAUACUUGUCCUUUCAUCGAGAAAUGUUUGGCUUCGGAAAUGUUGAACUUUGUUGUUGUAAUGUUGGAUUUAAUUGGUAAGCUAUGCAAUAAAGUUGUUUCCAGAUCUGGAAUGAUCUUGGCUUUGUCGUCUGGCCCGGCCUCUUCUCUUUCCCUUUACCGAGUGGCCUAUUUUCGGCACAUCGGGCAGGAGCUCGCUACUGUCUGGCGCAUGCGAACUCCGGCCCCGUCAACCCCGUCAACUCCAGAAAUCUUUUUUAUGAUACUUUUCCAUAAUUUUUUAAGAAAUAUAAUAUGUGACGAGUGAUCUCAAAAAAAAAAAAAAAUUAUGAGUCUACCAAAAUAAAUUAUUAAUAUCACUCUCUAUCUAGCUUUUUAGAUGUUCCUCGGAAGUAGAAAAAUGAAGAAAAGAAAAAUGUGACCGAGUAGCGUAAUAACAUAUUUAAACCUUAAAUAUGAUGUGACCUCCUUUCUCUUGCCUUCAACUUCUUGGAAGCUGCUCGAGGUGUCCUUUGAUUGGUCAGCCCUAACUUGCAAGAGAAGCAAAAUCGAGAUCACACCGAAAAAGUUCGGAGCCCGUUUUGCAUGAUGCAGCUGCUUCCUGGCAUUUAAAUCUUGACUAAGUUAUGAUCCCUCUUUCGUGUUUAGUCAUUUGAGCUCUUAGCUAUUUUUAGAGCUUGAUUAAACCGAUUUUCAAAGCCAAAAUUUUCUCUCACACAGUUGCUGUACAUAAGUAUUUUGAAAGAGAAUGAAUCAAUCGAUGAAGGCUUGUCUAAUCUCUCGUGGUGCCUUUAAGACAUCCUAAAACUCUUAUGGAGUCUUAAUGCUUUUCUUUUGAUGAUUAAAAUAAACAUUUUUUUCGAUAAAAAAAAUAAGGGCUUUUUUUUAAAAAAAAUUUAUUUCAAUCUCACGGGAGAUCUCAAAACAUGAAUAAAUACAACCGAAGUGUAGAUACUUCAUUUCCCAUGAUUUUUCUUUCAAAUCUUAUUCAUCAAAGGCACACCAUGUACAUUAUCAAAUGAUGAAUUCUCAUGUUAGAAAAAAGAAAACUAGCUAAGAGGUCUAGGACUUGGGGUUGAAAUUUCAUGUUGAGUUUGAUGGUUUUUUGGCGUUGGAAGGGAAAAAACAGGAGCUUUCUUAAGAAGGGAAAAAAACCGGUUUUAAAGCCAGCUCUUCUUUUCGGGGAUUGAGGAACCGAAAUUGAACCGGUUCGUCCGGUCGACGCCUGCGCGCCUUCGCUCCGUUCUCCUCUGUUCCCCAGUCUCCGCCCGUCGAGUCGCUCAGCUGCUUCCGUGGCGUUGACCUCAGUUGACCUUGUCGCUUCCGCAGCAAAAGCUCCGUCUCUCGAGUCCGUCGCCCUUGAUCAUCCCCCUUCGCGUCCCUAUUCAGGUAGCUCUCUCUCUCUCUCUCUCUCUCUCCCACCAGCUUCACGGAGUUAAAAGGAGGAUCAGUGGAAGUAGGAUUGGGAAUAGUGAAUGGAGGAACUAAAGAAGGUGAAGAAGGAAGAGGAGUGGAAGUAGGAGAAGAAGAAGACAAGGAGGAGGAGGAGGAGGAGGAGGAGGAGGAGGCGUGGUCGUCGGAUUCAGAAAUGUCGAACGCGCUUCCCCCUUUGGUCCUAAAAUUCUUUUCUCUAACUAUCCUUUUUAACUAUUUCAUUUAACUAUCCGCAAUGCCUGUAUGUAGUUUGUAGUUCAAAGACAUGCUUGAUUUUAACACGUUGCUUAGUCGCUUGGACCAAUGCAUAGCUUGCCUGAGGAUGAAAUUUGAUUUCUCCCUUCUGCUGUUGGCCAUAAGAGGUACAACGUGUUUGGCUUGCGUGAAAAGCCUGAAGUCACGGUUCUUUUUCUUUUCCGGCUUGAAUUGAAGGUAAGGGAGGUUUGAACUCCACUUUAUGCCAUUGUGGGAGAAAAAUGUGGCAACAUCGUUACAGCAAGGUUAAUCUUUGAAGCAUAGAGUUAGCAUCCUCAAUGGGUGGUGAAAACGGAUUGGAUUUUCAAUCUGUCUUCUUUGGGGAAACAGCGAAAGAACUGCUUCGAAGAACUUCUUAUUGAUAAAACUGAACAGGGAGGAGUUAUUUAAAAUAUACAAGGAUCUGUUUCUGUUUCUGGUGGCUGUUCCUCUGAAAGGGCUGGAUCAAGUGAUUAAGUUUUUACUGAAAUGCUGCUCAGAAUGGUUGCUUUCCUAGAUUACAGAGUUAUGAUCAAUUACCUGAGAAGCCAAGACAGUCAUAUUGAAGUUCUUAAAUCCUACCUUUAGUGCAACAACAGAUCAUUGAUAGGCUUCACUAGCAUUUUCUACAAUUGCUGUAUUGAGUACUGCAAUCCUUGAAACAGACACCUUGUCUGCAAAAGUUGUUCUUGUGGUAACAGUAAGAUAAACAACACUCCUGAAUCUCCUUUUCACUGUCUCCUCAUGUCAGCUGUCUCAACUUUUCAGUUUCACCAACCUCCAUAAUUGUGGUAGAACUUCAUAAGAACUCUCAAUUUCCAAAACUUUUCCACUCUUCACAGGAAAAGAAAUGUUGAGUUCAUGCUGUCAUCAAUUUGGUUCGCACAUUAACGAAAAUAUUUUAGAUCUUGAUGCUUUGUUUUGGGUUGGAACUUUUUGAUACUUGAAUAAGCAUGUAUUGACAUAUAGCAUACUAGCACUAUAUCUACCACUUCCUUCUGCACCUAAACAUGUUUUCGUGGACGCUGAUAUGAACUGUAUGAAUGAAUACUGCAGGAGAGGAAGUGAAGGGUGAAGCAUGAAUGUUGGCAUUUUCAACAC